AAAAGAAUAUCUUCUCUAGAUUUUGUACACCUAGGGUGAUUAUUAACAAUGGAGGUUCCCACUUCUGUAAUAAGUUGUUCAAGGCGCUACUUGAGACAUAUGGUGUCCGCCACAAUGUAGCCACUACUUAUCAUCCGCAGUGUAGUGGGCAAGUUGAAUUGUCCAACAGAGAGAUCAAGAAGAUUUUGGCUAAGACGAUGAAUGCUAAUAGAACUGACUCGUCAAGGAGUCUUAAUGAUGCUCUAUGGGCCUACCCCAUCGCAUUCAAGACUCCCAUAGGUAUGUCCCCCUACCAAUUUGUAUAUGGGAAGUCUUGCCAUUUGCCGGUAGAGCUAGAGCAUAAGGCUCUGUGGGCGCUAAAGAAGCUAAAUUUGGAUUGGGGCGCCGCAUCGAAUCAGAGAAGAUGAAAAAGUAUCAUGAUCAAAGCAUUGAAAAGCGAGAAUUUGUUGUGGGUGAUCUGGUGCUUCUAUUCAACUCUAGUUUGCGCUUGUUUCCUAGCAAGCUCAAGUCCAAGUGGACCGGGCCAUUCAUAGUCACACAAGUGUUCCCACAUGAAUCGGUCGAGCUUGAAAAUAAUGAGGGAACAAAGUUCAAGGUGAACGGGCAAAGGAUCAAGGUCUAUCUGGGAAAAGAGGAGAAUGUGCAAGAAGUUGUUGAGGCCUACUAUCUUGAUGAAGUCUGAGUAAUCAAGAGGCCUGCGUUGUGCCGCGACGUUAAAUCAAACACUGCUUGGGAGGCAACCCAAGAUGUACAAUCUAGCCAACUAUAGAUUUUUCUUUUCGAUUUAGUAGUUUUCUUUGUUUAUUUGCAUUUCUGUAUUCCUUUAGAUAGGUGCUUUAUUUUUGUUGUAUUGUUGGCUAGAUAUAGCAUAGGGUUCGUGUCUAAAAAGUGUCCAGAAAAUAUAAAAAUAAAGACCUAACGGUUACUACAAGUCAGGGGCGAAAAGCAAAAUCUGCACAAAAAGUAUGGUGCAGAGGUCUACGGACCCCAUCGACGGUCCGUGAAUGGUGUCCGUAGACCCCAGGUAAGUCGUCUAAUUUUUUGGAAGUGUUGAGUGACCUACGGACACGACCUACGGUCCAUAGGUCGAUCCACGGCCCAUCGACGGGGUUUUGUGGGUCCAGAGCUAGGGUUUAGUCGACCCGACCCGGACCCCUUUUAAUAAAACUCCUCAUUUUCAAAUUCUUCCCCCACUUCCCAUAUCCCCUCCUAACCGUUUCUAACCAAUCCAAAUCCCAUUACUCCCUCAUUAUAUUCCCAAAUCACUCCCAUCUCCCAUACAUAUCAUCACCCCUACCAUAUUUCCAUCCCUUUCUCCCCCAAAAUCUGAGCACUCCCAUUUUUCAUUCCCAAGAAGAAUUCAAUGUCUGCGUUUGGUAUCCAAAAUUUCUAAGGAGUUUAAGCAUCACACAAUCACCCACUUACAUUUCUUCUAAGGUAAUCGAUUUCAACUUAACUCUGAAUUUUGAUAUUCAUUGUUCAAAAUGAAGUCAUGAAGUGGAUCUUGACCUUGGGUGUUUUUAUAUGAAAUUGCAUGUUAAACUAAAGUUAGAAACACCCUUGGGAUGAUAGAAUGUGAUUGUGUUGUCUCUGUAAUAAUUUGAAUCAGAGAAAAAGAUUCUAAAUGCAAAUUUCGACUUACGGUUCCUAGUUUCAUAUGCACUACAUGUUGAAGAUUGAGAAAUUGGAACCCUAGGGAUGACGAACUAUCAUAAAUUGUGUUGAAAUGCAUGAUUAGAGUUGGGAUGAAUGUUGAAAUUGUUGAAAAAUGGUGUCAACAAGAAGCAUGUCUGAUACAUGGCACAUACUUGACCCACGAGACCCCGUCUAUGGACAGUAGGUCAAUCUACGAACUAUAGAUCAAGUCGUGGGUCUGCACACAACCAAUAAAUGUUAAGUGUGGAACCACGGAAGUGGACUACGGUCCGUAGUUCAAUCUAUGGACCGUUCUGCACAUUUGUGGAUCCAUCAAUGGACCGUAGGUACCCACCGUGGGUUAGUAGUUUAGCUACUGUCCAUAAAAAUUUUCAAUUUUUUUUUUGGUUGAUUCUUGGUUAUAAAUUUUUUUCGAGUUUGUUAUUAGUUUAUUUUGGUGCUAAUUAUGCAUCCACAGGUACCAUGGCUCCGGAGAAAGAUCCGCAAAGUGCUGAUCCAAAUCAAUAGCACUAACUCGUCGUCUAAAUGACGAAGCUACUGACGUAAAGAAUGACCCCGCAUAUGUCCCCACCACUAGAAUGACAUCCCCCACAGCACCCCGGACUACGCAGAAUCAAUCCAAGAAGGUGGUUCCCGACGUAGUCACUGCCUCCCAGUCUGAAGAGGAGGAUACACUGAUCGGAUCACCGGCUAGGUCUGCUUCCGGUUCUGAGUCAACCACUACUUUCGGGUCUACUUUUGGCUUCACAACCGGUUCAAGUUCACAUGGUAAGGCCGCCUCAUCUGAUGAGGCUACUAGUGCUUGGGAUAUUCCUGUGCCACUAAACACCGUCCCUGCCCCAGUUGCGGAGGAGCCAAAUAUGUGGUGUGUAGAUGGUCAGUGGAAGAUAUACAUGGAUGCCAAUAUGAUGACUGAGCAGAAUAGGAUGGCCCAGACGAUUACAGAGGAGCGCAUGGCACUCACAGGCAGCUUGCAUUCCAUGCCCGACAUCCACCGGCUCUUCCAACAGCAUAAGUAUGAGUGGAUUGCCUGGGAACCAGGGACAUAUAGCGAGGAGAUCGUGAGGAAGUUCUAUGCUUCAUACGCAACCACUCUCCGAAGCUCUAUUCAAAAAAAUGCCAAGCCUAGAGCCUAGGCACCACUCACGGCUACACUAGUGUGAGGGUUUUCUAUGGAUAUAUCUGAGACCACUAUCCACCAGUUCCCUUACGACCCUACCCGUACUUGGGCACUCAACACCAUUGAGUUUGACUACAGAUUGGACAUUGUGCGGAGUGAUGAGUUCCAGUGGAGUGCAGAGAAAAGGGAGACCGUAUUACACUAGCUGGCGAGUUACAUUGCUACAGAUUACAUUGCUACAGAUGGAGAGAGAGCCGAGUGGGUCAGCACCCCGACCUUAGGGAUCAAGAAAGCCAUACUGAAUUUUGUGGCCAAGUUCUUUUGGCUAUUAGUGCGGAACUGGUGUCUCCUACACAACCAUACAAUGUACUUAGAUGGGACUGUGCUGUGAUAUUUGUUGCUUUGGUAUCUGGGUUUGAGAUAGACUUCGCCCACAUGCUGAUUGCAGAGACUCACGAGAGGGGCUUUAAGGCCUCCACCAAUUACCCUUUUUCUUGCCUCAUCUUUCAGUUAUUCAAGGAUUUUGGAGUGCCGGUCUGGCAUUAUGAUAGGUUGAUCCAAUCGACUAAGAUCCUGGAUAUAGGCCUAAUUUGGGAUGAGGCGAAUGUAGCGGCACCACGCAGAGAGCCGCAUGUCGAUAUACCUCCAUUGGGAGCAGACUUAGUUGCUGAUGUGGAGCAAAUGCCGGACCCCACCCCUCCAGCAACUACUGAUGAUUCCCCGGCCUCCCUAUCUUUAUGCCGCCAGUCGGGCUCCUAGCUCAUCCAGAGCCAUCCCUUCAUCAGGAUUUGCAAUGGUUCCCCUUGCUCGUGUUCAAAAUUUGGAGGCACAAAUGGCAACACUGCUUCAGCAUGUGAAGCCUUGGAUGCAGCGGUCUAUUUCAGAGUCUGAGGCCAAGAUGUAGCAGAGGAUGGAGCACAUGAUGGACGUGAAGGUCCAGGUUGUUAAUAAGCGCCUGGAUGCCUUCGAGUUGAUAGUUCUCAAGCGACUAGCCUCCACCACUGAUGUCUCUUACCUUCGAAAGGAUUUGGAUAUUCACCGGGCCCAUCAUGAUAAAAUCCUUGUUCCACCUACAUAUAAGCCAGAGUCCACUCCAACUAUACCGGCCGUUGAUAUGGUGCUAGAUGCUUUAUUCAGAGAGGACUUAACACAGCCCAAGCCCACCCGUGCUCGUGUGACUAGGCCCCGCUCUAGUCGCACUUCUGACGCUAAUGAUGAUGCACGAGUAAAGAAGCGGGAACGCCAGCAGACCAAGCAGUCUAGGAAAGCCUCCAUUUUGGCUGAGGAAAUGCACCAGCAUAGGGUUCUGAGGGUAUUGUUGGAGCCUCGAGUUCUAUGCCCACCACUAAGGUUGUUGCUGUUGUGAGAGAUGAGGUGAGUACUACUGAUGGUUCGGUAAGAUUAGAUGAUAGCACUGCUGAUGGUGUUGUGACAGCUGAUGGUGUUGUGACAGUUGAUGCGGGCACUACUGAGGGUGACCCAAGUGUUGAUCCAGCGGGUUCCGGGAAAUCGAACCCACCCGCUUGUUGAUAGGUGUUCGACGCUAUGCACUACAAUUUUGCUUCACCCAAUCCUCUAUUAUUUACUUUUUGUGCAUUCGGGACAAUUGCACUCUAUUUUUGUUGGGGGUGGGGUUAAUGGAUUGUGCGUGAUAGGGUGAAGUCUGAGUAACCCAACUCAUAAUCCUUUCUUGGGGUUUUCUUGCCUCUGUUCUUUUCCGCCAAGAGACUGUUUUAAAUUUAUGUUGAACCGUCAUGUGUUAGGAUUGUAUGUGUAGAAGAAUGAGAAAGAUAAAAGCAUGAUGGCAUAGUUAUGAAUGAAAAAUGUUACCCGUCCAAAGUUGGUGAUAUGUGCUAAAAUUUGUAGGCUAGAAUGAGUUGAAUGUGUUGGCUCUUAAUAUGACAUGAUAAUGAACCAACAUGACCUCAUGAAUUAACCUAAACUUCCACUGGUUAACUAAUAAUCUGAUAAUGUAAUAAUGUGCCAAGAGUGAGUGAGAUGAGUUAAAUUGUUCAGAUAGGUUUGUGCCAAUCUAGAACUUGCCUGUUUAAUCCUACUAAGAUAAUCUACGGUAGAGUCUAGGAAGUGAUCAUAGGUCCUUGUUCUAAUAAGUUUACUAAUUGCCUAAAAGAAUCCAACCAAAUGAAAUAAAUGUUCCCGUUGAUCCAAAUGCUUUGAGCAUGAAAUAGACCAUAUCUUUCUAAACCCUUAACUCACCUUCCCAUAAUCUAGUGUUUUGGCCCCGGACCCUCCUUGGACAUGUGCACCUUGUAAUCAAAAUAAUAUUUAUUCUGUGAAAAAGAGAUUUCGUUUGAAGUAAGGGCACUACUUACAUUGUCGGAGAGUUGGAACCUUGGUGAUAGUGCAAAUGUGUAUGUUAUGUGUCUAUUGGUCUAUCUUUGUCAUAUCUUGAUCCGCAUGAGUUAGCUUGUUGAGUCUAAGAGAAAAGAUUUGCAGUCGACAAGGUAGUCGGGAUAGAAAGCCAUGUGAUUUCUUGUGCUUGAAUGGUUGUUUCUAUACAAGUCUCGUUUAGAGUCUUAGUGCGUCACUUGAGGACAAACAACGAAUUUAAGUUGAGGGUGUUGAUAAUCCGUGAGUUUACGGUAUUUUUAAUACAUUUCACUUAAGAUUUGUGUGUGUCUAGGUCCAUUUUGUAUUGGUAUUAAUGUGUUUUUAUCAUGUUUGCAGUAAAUAAGUUCGGACGUGGAAGUGAAGAGACACAGCUGAAAAAUUGUGCAGAACAGGGCAUCUACAGACGUGACCUACGGACUGUAGGUCCAGUCACAUUCCGUAAGUGGUAGGCGUAGAUGGGCAGGCAAGGCUUAAAGGAAAAUCAGGGAAUUCUUGACCAAGUGUGGAACCACGGUUACAAACGACGGACCGUAGGUCGACCAACGGGACGUCCUGCAGUUCCGUGAAAUGAUUCAGAGAAGGGGAUUCCAGUUUUUGAAAGUCUAAGUUUGGAGAUACGGAGGAGGAUCCACUGACCAUGGAUCUAACCACAGUCCGUCCUGCUGAUUCGCCAAUUGUUACUGAGAGUUAGAGAUUUUGAGUUUUGGAAAAUUGCCUACGUCUCAAACCACGGAAGGGAUCUACGGACCGUAGGUCAGUCCACAGUCUAUAGGCCAGUGUUGUAGAUCGAAACCGCGUACAAAAACUUUAUUUCCUUAUUUCAUUUCCUUUUUAUUUGGGACAUGUUUUUCUAUAUAUUAGGGCAUGUAAACCUCAUUUUUGGGGAUUAGACACUAUUACUUUAGUUCUAGUUUUUGGCUUUGGAGAUUAACUUGCAACUCUAGCAAUUCUUGAUAUCCUAAGUUCGUUUUGAAGACUUUAACUUUGAAAUUCAAGUUGGGUUUUUGGAUUCCUUCCUUCUCAUUACGUAAGUUCAUGAAUUCUUCUUCUACUAAUAUGAAUUGUGUUCUUGUUACUAUGGGUAACUAAAUCCACAACUAGGGUUGUGGAAACCAUGAGCGAUUAACAAAGUAUGAAUAGUAGCUAAGUAAUUAUUGAAUAGUGUUAUUGGAUGCAUUGAUAAUUAUUUCGUUUAAAAGUAUUUUUAGUAGUUGGAAAUGUUAGAACUUGCCUUGUUGCUACUUGCCGGACCAAGGAGGUAGUUAAUGGGAAAUAAAUUAUCAACAUAGAUUUAGUGUGAUACUAUCGAAUAGUAUAAUGUCAAUCGGUGCGAGGGGGAAAACUAAGCCAUACAUUGAUGUGAUGUCUAAUUUGAGGUAAAUGUAAGGGUUAGUAAAUUAUACACACGUAGCCGGACCAAGGUGCGGGGUGAAAUUCUCUAGUUGUCGGAUUAAGGAAUUAGAGCUACAUAACUUACCACUUUGUAUGUAAUACACUAGGAAAGGAUUACUAUUACUAGGAUUACCGCGUUAUGAGCUUUUGUUACCUAAAUACAAUAAAGUAUUGGUUUCACAAAUUCCCCCCUUUUCUUACUAGUCUCAGAAAUACGUUGACUAAAUGAAUAUAAUCGUAAGUCAAGUUUAAGUCUAAACCAUAUUCCUCGUGGGAUCGACCCAACUACAAGUUGGGAUCUUUACUUGAUAACGAUCGCUUAUACUUCUUUAGGGAGGUGUAAUUUGAGCGUAUUAACAACAAUUAAUUAACAACAAUAGCUUAAUUGUCGCUAAAUAUAUAUUUAUAGCGGCAAUUAAAAUUCUUUGUAUAUGUCUCUAAAGCGUUUAGCGACAUUGGUUCUAAUGACACUUAACUAAAGUCGGUAAAGACUUUAGCACUCGAUAUUAAUGUCUAUAUUUAUUUCCGCUAAAAUUUAUUUAUUUUAUAGGGCCUGAGCCAAUAUUGUCUAAUUAUCUUUCUUCUUAUCUUUUUCUCUCUUCCUCAUCUUCAUUUCUAUCACCGUUUAUUCUUUUAUGUCAUCUCUUGUAAUGGUUUUUAUGAUAUAAGAGACCAUAAUUUAUAUUUUAUUUUAAAUGCCGUAAAAAAUCUAUCUUUGUCCCCUUAAUGGAUCUUUAUAAUAAUUUGAAGAUGAGAAAUGUCAUUUGUGUAGUAAUUAUUAAACAUUGAGAAUCUGAAAGUGGAAUAUGUGCUAGGUCUUUAAAUGACCUUACACAAGAAAUAACAAAUGUUAUAUCUUGGGAGUUUCUUCCAAUUUCACAUGUUGUCGUGUCAUUAGAGCUUAGCAUAUAUUCAGUCAUAUAAGGUUGACAUGCUAAAGACUGCUGAGAACGAUUUCGAUUGUAUAUUUCCUGCGAUGGAUGUGACUCAAUAUUUUCUAUCCAAUUUUCCCACAUAUCAUCAAGGACAUAUUUGGUAUAGAAAAAGGGUUAUAGUUGUGUUAUAGUAUCACCCACAAUAAUUUCAACCAAUACAUGCUAAUGUUAUGGGUGACAUCAUUUUUUAUGAUGUUUUAUGAUGUCGUUAUUAUGUUAAAUUGGCUCAACAUAUAUGUCUUCAUCAUCUUCAUAAUUAAAUUUCUCAUACGCAUGUGAUUGAUUAUUGGGGAGGUCAUCUUUGAUACAUUUAACAUUUUCUUGCAAUUGUUGUAUGAAAUAUCCUUUGCUACUUGAGCUAUCUAGUUGUGCAAUUGUAUUGAUUUUUUUAUAGUUUUUGCAAGAUUGAAAUUUGAGUGGCAUCUAUUGUGGCCAAAUUUCCUAGGAUGCACAAGAACCAUUUUUGUACUUCUAGCACAUGAGAUUUCGAUGGGUUCCAAUUCUUAUUCCUUUGGAAAUCAACUUGGAGGGAUAAUAAUGAGCGUCCUUUAUGUCCAUCCUAUUUAUGGAAUACAAACUUCAAGGAAUAUAUCCACUAAAUGUGAAUCCUUUGGGAGAUUAGUAAGACCAUAGGAAUUUGGUGCUCAUUAAAACACAUCAUAUUCGUCACACUCUAUUGAGGAAGGAUAUCAGAUUUGUAAUCAUAGAUAGGCCACCAUUGAUGUAAAAAUUAUUGAGUAAAUUCAAAGACUAAUUUCUUCCCCCCAUAGGAGAAACUAAGAAUGGUUGCCUGUGCUAUUUUGAAAGUGAAGGAAUUCAUCCAUGCUUUUUCGUUAUAAAAAUAAUCAUAGUUUUGGGCAUCAAAAUAUUGGAAAAGUCUUUUGUACUUGGUUGGGUGAAUGACUCAUUCCUUGGUUGAGAUUAUUUUAUUAAUUCAUAUAUUUGUGUUUUCUAGUCUUUAUGUUGUUAAAUAAGCAAGAUCAGGUAUCUGUGAGGAUGAACUCAUAAAAUUCAUGAGAAUAUGCAAAACUGUUUUUGAAAAAAUUUGAGGGAGGGCUAAGGGCUAAGUAUUUUCUUAGCUAACUCAUGGGGUUGGAAAUACAAAAAUUCAUAUUAAAUUUGUAUCAAAGAGUAUACACUAUCAUUUUUAAAGUAUGUUGGGUCAUCAGAUGAUGAUCCUCUACAAGAAGAAAUUUGUUGACGUAUAGGUGAAGAAAUUGAUUUGUUUGGUAUAUGACAUACCAUGACAAAAUUUUGUAAAAAAACAAAUACAAAAUUACUGGGCUUUCUACCUCCAAUGUGUUUUUUUUUAGCUAACAAUAGCUGGGAAACGAGAAGAAGAAGCUGAAAAUGGAUUUAGAUCAGCUCAUCGGGUCUUCCUUUGUUCAUAAGGUCUGAAUUGUUUAACCUAGCUGAAUUUCUACUUUCUCGUCAACAAGGUCAGCCCAUUUAUUUGUACUUGAGAUUGAAAUCAGAUUUGUACUCUCCAAGAUAUAUUACUACAGAAUUCCUUUCAUGAUAUAAUUUGUUGAAGUUUGGUAUCUUGGCUGACUUGGCGAGCUGCAUCUAUUGAGGGUUGCUUAGGAGUAACUUAAUUUUUUUGUUGUUUGGCUACAACUUGCACUUCAUGAUUGACUUGCUCAUAUACGGGGGUGUUUUUUUUUUGUGGAGUAACGGUUGAAAACUUCAAGAGUUGUAUUUUUUUUCUUUCUACCAAUAAUUACCUCCCCUGCAAUAAUUCUCGAGUUAGAGAAUUUGGAGUAGAGUUUCAGAUCCCUUUGAUAUAUUUUAUAUCAGGAAAAAACAUACAUCAAAAUCAAAAAUAGAUAAAAUAGAUUUCCAUCUAGGAAAUAUACUUUUAGAGGCAAGGUUUUGAACAUCCUUUUGAGAAAUAGACUUUGCAGCUUUACAAUCAAUUUGCUAUGAAAGAAUUAGAUUAAGUAAAUCAAUUUGAAAUUUAGAAAUACAUAAAACUAUUGUUAAAAUUUCCUUUUUUAUUGUUGGAUAAUUUUUUGGGAUUUAUUUAAAUGCAUGGAUGAAAAUGCAAUGAUAUAUUCUUUAUCAUUUUUCCUUAUCUUUCAAAUGUCUCCAAAACCAAUAUGUGAUCCAUUUGUUUCAACUAUUUUGAAUGCAGAAGGAUCAAAAACAGAGUGGCAAGGAAGAUCUUUAGCUUUCGUAUGCAUUCUCUUAUGAUACUUUUCAACGAAGGAGGGAUUUUUAUCAUUGUAACCCGAAAUCAAGCAAUGAAGGAACCUAUAACCCUAGUAGGCAAUCAAAACACCCAAACAAGACAAAGAAGAAGAGUGAACGAUAAGGAAUGGGGGCCAUAGCAUAGAUAUGUAAGUAAAAUACAGAGUAUACAAAAUGCGCCCAAAAGUGAUCACUUGCCUCUCAUAGAGUUUGCUUACAAUAAAACUUAUCACUCACGUAUUGAGAUGGCUUUUUUGAGGCUCUUUAUAGGCGAAGGUAUAGAUCUCAUAUUAGGUGGUUUAAGGUUUGUGAUGCUGAGUUGAUAGGGCCAUACUAGGUUUACGAAGCCAUGGAGAAGGUCAAGCCUGUUCAAGAAAAGUUGAAAAUAGCGCAAAGUCAUCAAAAAUCCUACAUAGAUGUUAGAAGAAGAGAUUUCGAGUUAUAGGUUAAUGAUUAGGUUUAUGUGAAGGUUUCACCCACGAAGGGUGUUAUGAGGUUUGGUAAAAAAGGGAAGCUCAGUCUCCGAUAAGUCCUAACAGGAUAUCUAAUAUGAUUUGUAAUGUAGCUUGAAUAUUAAAGCGAUAACUAGAGUUAGUGGUUGUCUGUCGGCUAUUCCACAUCUCCAUGCAAAAGAAAUCCUUGAGCGAUCCUAUGGGGUUUUGACUACAUAAAGUAUUAAUGUGAAAGACAAUUUGCCCUAUGAGGAAGUUCCUAUCUGGAUUCUUGAUCGUCAGAUUUACAAGUUGAGAACCAAAGAGAUGGCAUCAGUAAAAUGUUUUAGAGGAAUUAGUUUGUUGAAGAGGCUAGAUGGGAAGUCAAAGAGUAUAUAAACACUGAUUCGCUCAUCUAUUUCCUUCGAUUCAGUUCAAGUCCAAGGUAAUAACUAUUUCUAAGGUACUCAUUCAAUUGAGUCCCCCCCUCACAUAUAUUGUAACACCCAAGAAAAUUUCAUAGCUAAAGCCCAAACUAUUCUUCAUUUGCAUGUAAGAUGUUAUCGAGUGAUUCUUAAAUUGUUAGUAGGGUUUAGGGUCAAUUAUUUAGUGUGGGAAUAGAUUUGGGUAUGAAUUAGGGCCACAAAAAUCCCCUAGCACAAUGUUGAGUUGAAAGCUUUCUUACCAAUUAAGUUUUGACAUUUGAUUCUACAUAGUUCAACUUCAAACUAUCAUAUAUCUCUGCACAAUGAAUUAGGUAGCCCACUAUCUAUCAAAUUAAAGGUCUAUGGGUCCUCUUUCAAACGAGACGAAGUGUUUCUCAUUUCAAAUUACAAGUAAAGCGUUAUGACUAUUUAUGAUAAACUACCACAAUAGAGUUUCCUGAGUCAAUACUUAGGAAUCCUUUCGACAAGCCAUAUAAAUUUCCAUGACACGUACUAAGAAUUCAUAGAAAACUUCAGAGAAUUCAAAUAUUUGGGUAGCAUUCCUAUGGAUCAACCUACGGGUCGUAGAAAAUUUUACGGGUAAUAGUUUGGACCCUUAGAAUGAACUUUUGAGCCUUAAAUUCUGUAUGAAUUCUGCCGAUUGGAUCUACCAUCUAUUGAAACUUCUACACGUCAUAGUUUAACAUGUAGAAUGAAAUUUUAAUCCUUAAAAUUCAAUACGAAUUCUACAAAUUGGAUUUAUGUUCUGUAGGAACUUCUACGGGUCAUAGUUUAAACACGUAGAAUUAAUAUUUGAGCCUUAAAAUUUAGUAUGAAUUCCAUGGAUGUGAUCUACGGUCAAUAGAAGAAACCACGAACCGUUGAUGGCCCCAUGAAAGCUUUUUAUCAGCCUUCUAACAGGGAUAAUUCAAUCUUUCCCCACCUUUUCUAAGCCUAAAAUCAAAAAAUUUAGUAUAAGUUAAGGGUUAAAAGAAUAUUGUUCGAUCUCUUUUACGUUCAGUAACACUCCAAGUCAUUGGAGCAGGGUUCCAAGAGGAGAAAAGUGAGGGUUUCGAGUACUCUUCCAGUUUUCACCAAUAUCGCCAAAAACAUUAUUUUCCAUGCAUGUACGACUAUCAUAGUGAUGGAUUGAGUUCUCCCCGACGCCUUACAUCUAUCUAAGUUCUAUAAAAGAGUAAUGUAGGGUUUUAUCCUGGAUUUUGGUAUUCCAGAGAUGAGUAGUAUCAUUGAUUUUUGAGUUCUUGAUUUCUUAGUAUUAAGUUUUCUAUGUUGUUAAUGAGAUCCUUGAGUUGAUUUAUUCAUGUCUAUAUUUCAGCGUGGACCCUCUUUUGAGUUAUAAUUUUUGAGAAUCUUUUUACGCAAAUUUUUUUUGUCUUAAUCUGAUUUUAUGAGAAAGCAAAGAUUAAUUUUGUGAAAGAGUUUUAAACUUGAUUUGAGUUAAAGUAUAAGGGAACUAAGUAUUACCAAAUGUAUCACUUUUUACAUUGAUAUAUGAGAUAUUUUGAUUUCUACAUGAGUUAAUGAGUUCAGAGAUAUUUCAGAGUAGUUACCUCUUUUAAUAGGAUAUUUUGAACAAUUACCUCAAAUUGAGAAGGAGUAUGUUUUAUACAUUUGAGCAUAUGUAUAUAUUUAUUGGUAUUAGUAUUGAGCACUAAUUUGGGGAUAAAUUCAGACAACUCACACUUAUAAACCAUGUAGAAACCAUUGGUAAAUGAUCGUACUCUUUGGAUGACUCCUAAUUGGUUUUGGGUAGAGCUUUAGUGGAUCCACUUAGUUGAGACUAUCUAUAUCCCGUCAAGGUAUUGGAUAGUUCUAGCAGCAUGGGUGAGACCUUAUAUCCUCAAGUUUCACAUAGUGAUGGUUGUCGGUUAGAGAAUCUCACAAAUAGAGUUAAAAUGUAUUUUUAUCAUAUCACUUGAUAUGUUGACUUCGGAUAGGAGUAAGUAUUUUGUAAAGUUUAAAUGAUUUCACUCCUUUAUUUCUUCCAUUCAGUUGAGUAUAUAUUUAUAACUAUUGCCGUCUUUCAAUUUAGUCAUUUUGCUUCGGCUAUAUUACAUACUUGUAUAUUCAAUGUAUGGAUGUUGUUCGACCUGCAUAUUUUAUGAUGCAAAUACAAGUGUUCAUGAUCAUCAAUAAGUGAUUCGUUGAGAUCACUUUGCACUUCCCAUUAGAGAGUUUUGGUGAGUCCUCCUUGCUUCCUCGAGGGCCCCAUUAUUUCAAUAUAGAAUUUACUUUGGGCUUUGAGGGUCUUGUCCUGACGUCCAUGUUGAACUUAGAGGUUUCAUAGAUAAAUAGAGUUAAGGUCUUUUUAGAAAUUCAUUCUUUAAAGUGUCUUGGGAAUAUUAUAAUUUUGUUAAAUGAGUAUUUGAGAUAGUUGAGUUAUAUUUUUCUCUUAAAAGGUUUUAAUUUUCUUCAGUCAAAUCUUUUGCUAAGUAGUCAACCAGCCAGAGGGUUCUCUUGGGAGCCAACAAUGAUUCUCGAGCGCCGGUCACGCUUGACAAAAGUAUUGAUAACUUUUUAUACUAUGAAAAUCACUAAAAUACACUUCACCACUUUAAAAAAAAUGUAUUACAACAACAAAAAUAUUACUAGUGAAGUCCCACUAAAUGAGAUCUAGGAAGGUAGAUUAUAUGCAGACCUUACAACUAGCUCAUGUAGGUCGGAAGGUUUUUUUUAAAACACCCUUGACUUGAGUGCAUCAAAUCCAAGUAAAAGAAUGAGAAAAUCGUAAAGAGAACAAAGUAGCUAAUAAGCAAAGCAAUGUAAAUUCUAUAAGAAAGAACAAUAACUUCAAUAAAAUAGUGUGAUAACGGAAACAUAAUAUACAAUAUAUGAUAUGAACUGUAAGGGUACGACUAGUAUUAUCAUAUCCACUUACAAGUCUUAACCCUUGCUAGAAAACAUAACACUAUAUCCCUACAAAUCUUCUUCACUAAUAUGUGACCUCCAGUUCUUCCUAUCUAGAAUCAUGUCCUCGGUUAUAUGAGGCGGCAUCAUUGUUUGUGCAAUCGCAUUUUCCCAAUAAAAAAUUUUUGCCUACCUCUAUGUGCACCCCUAACAUCCAGAUUAUCGCACCUCCUCAUUGGGUGUAAUGACCGAAUUUCGUCGUUAUAGAAAGGCCAACGGGGAAAUUUUUUGGGUCGGAAAACUUUUUCAUAGUAACUUGGAAUUUCCCAACCCUGUCCAGAUUUGGAUGAAAUUGGAGUCAUUAAAGUCUAAAGAAAUCUAGUAACAAUUGGGUGAUCUAAUUGUGAAUUUGAUCACAUGAGUAGAUAGAUAAGACGUUAAGAAACCCGUACGACUUCACGGAAUAGAUUUCGGGUGAGUAGAUCUCCUAGAAUUGAUCUUAGCGUGAAUGGCUAGUUUAUGAGUGUCGUUGGUAGAACGUGUGUUGUGAAAUAGGGUUCUUGGAAUUAUUAAAUUUUCUCACUGGUUUCGUGCAAGCCGCUUAGGCGGGAUUUCUGCCGCCAGGGUGGGUCCGUUGUAGCGGCGCGGGUGCUGCCAGAGCGGGGCAGACGCGACUUAAAGUUGGAAAUAAACCCCAAAAACAUUUUAUUCUACAAUUUUCAAACUUGAGAGCUAAGGAAAGAACCCUGGGGUUUUCUUGACAUUCUUUCACCAUUCUUAAGGAUAAAGGUAAGAUUUUAACUUCCCGAAUCCAUUUUUCGAUCUGUAGAACGUAAUCAAAUGGGUAAUUAUCGUUGGAGAAGAGUUUUGAUCUGGAAAUUAUAGUGAAGAAAGCCCUAGUCUGGGUAUGGGGAACAUGGGUAUGAUUUAGGGUUGAUAGAACUGUUAGUAAUUUGGGUAAUUAGUUAUUGUUUAUUGAUUCCCGUGUUAUAUUGAUCGUUUGUAGACCAAGAGCAAGCGAAACGAAUCCGGAAAAGGAAGAAUCAAGUUUCUUAGGGGUUUCAAGAUUGCUUCGAGGAAGAUGAUGAUUUUGAUUUCAUGAUUGUGUAAUAUAUGUUUGUUCUUGCUUCAUUAUAAUACGUGUAUGUAUGAGAUUGUUGCAUUAUUGAUCAAACUUGUCGUAAAUAAGAUAGAUGAAUGAUGAAUGCCAUGAAUCAUGACUUCAUUGUAUGAUCUUGAUAAUAUACUUGUUAUUGUGGUUGUGGCUUGUUGAAUGGAUCGGGUGUUGCGUUUUGAUACACUAACUUAGAUCGGUUUCCACGUUCCACUAUAACUAUGAGAUCAGUUGCCACAUUUCGGCAAAAUCAUUGGAUCGGGUACCACGUUCCGGUAUGCUAAGAGUUUGGGUUUGGGUUCCAUGAUAGGACCAAUGAUUUGAUAUAAUUUUGUAUGUUGAAAAAUGUGAAAUUGUACGUUCUUUGUAAAAGAUGAUGAUAUUGUAUAUGUUCGGUGUAUGCAAGUUUUUAUUAUGUUGUAUCACCUAUGUAUGUUGCACUUAGUGGGAUAGCCGCGUGAUCCUACCAUUACACUAUGGUUGUGUACUGAUACUGCACUUGCUCUUUCUUUGUUGAGUAUAGGGAAUUUUCAGGCGGCUAUUGACAUACCUCGUUUAGAAGAUCAUUGAUCAUCGAUCGAAUUCAAGGGUGAGCAAGUUCUUCAAGGCUGCCAUGAGUUCUCUUUAUGUCUAUGUCCACAUUUCAGACUUGGACCUUCUUGUUAGUUAUUAGUUCAUUAGUUUGGGGUUGUAACCCUUCUUAUUUAGACUUAUGGAUCUUGUUAGAGUUUUGGUACAUUGACUUUCAGGUUCUAGGUAUUUAAUUACACAAUUUGUUGUUAUAUCUUUCGGAAGUUUAUGGGAACUUCAGUAUUUAGUUAUGUAAACUUGCUUUUGUAACUUGUAAUGCUUUAGUAUGUUGAUUAAGUUGGUUAGCUAAUUAGUAUAAAUGGUUCUCCCACCGGAGAAUUAGUGUGGGUGCCAAUUACGACGGUCGGGGUCAUGACAAAAUUGGUAUCAGAGCCUAGAUUUGUUGAUCUCGAUGUUCCAAAAUGAGUUUACUAGAGUCUUGUGUAAUGGUACAUAGACAUCUGUACUUUUCUUCGAGAGGCUAUAGGACUUUAGGAAAUCUCUCUAUUUUCUCUUGUCUCCUUUCGUGCUAUAAGUUGAUUCCAAUUUGUAUCUAACCUCCUUCACUCUUCUGUCCGCAGAUGGUUUACACUAAAUUCAACGGCGUCAGGCCCGUAGCACCCGUCAAUGCUCCAGCUGAGGAAUCUACAGCGAGAGGUCGCGGUUGAGAUAGGGGUAGAAAAAGAGCUAGGGGUAGAGGCCGAGGAAGAGUGGCGCCUACUAGAGAUGGAGUACAUGUUGAAAAUGCUCCGAGAAAUGAGGCCCAUCCCGUGCAUCCGAAAGAGAUAAAAGAGAAUAUUGAGGUUGAAAAUGUUGAGGCGGUUGGACGAGAGGAAGAGGUGCAAGUUAAGACUACAGGUAUUCCUCCCAUAGAUCCAAUGUUAGCUCAACAAAUCAUGUCAUUCCUGAAAGGGUUGGUUGGUACUGGAGUGCUUUCUUCUGUUCAAGCAACUCACGCCCUUACCAAUCCUCAUAUUUCUAUCACUAUCCUCAAGGUGGGUGGAAUUGGAGGUAAUGAUGCUUUCUUCUGUCCUUUGUUGAGUCCUGUUAUGACUAGUAAUGAGCAUGAAAUGCUGACUAUGUUCUUGAAGUUGAAACCGCCUAUGUUCCAUGGUUCCGAGAGUGAGAAUGCAUAUGAGUUCAUCCUAGAUUGCUACGAGAGGAUUCAUAAGUUGGAUAUUUUAUAUCAGCAUGCGGUUGAGUUCGUGACUUUUCAGCAUCAAGGUGAGGCUAAGCAGUAGUGGGGAGCUUAUAUGGAAUGUAGAUCAUUAGUUUUACCCCCACUCACCUGGACCUAGUUUCGUGUUUUAUUUCGGAGAAAUAUGCGACUAGGGAUUUGAGAGAUCGUAAGAAGGAUGAAUUCAUUGCUUUGGAAUAGGGUGCUAUGUUUGUGGCUCCUUAUGAGGUCAAGUUUCAUGCCUUGUCUAGAUAUGCUACGCAGUUGGUGAGUACCGUGGAGGAGAGGAUCCGUUUAUUUAUUAAGGGACAAAAUUCUGAGGUGCAAGUAUUAUCUGUUCAUAUGACCUCUGCAGGGAGGAGCUUUAAUGAGGUAACAUAUUUUGUUAAGAAAGUGGAGGGGGUGAGGCGAGACGGUCAGGCUAAGGCAUUGGCUAAAAGGGCCAAAAUCUCGGGUAACUUUCAAGGUUCUUAUUCCAAAGGGGAUGGGAGGCAAACACUUCCGGCAAGGCCAAUUCAGUCUGCCAUGCCCACCUCUACAGGUAAUUGCUCGGGAACUCCACCUCAUAAUUUUAUUCAGGAUAACCAGGAGUCGCGCCUUCGAGGGGAGGUAGACCAUAUUUUAAUCGUACUUGCGACAAUUGUGGAGAACUUGGGCAAAUUAGAAGAGAUUGUUCCUACUCACAUAUGUUGGAUUUUGCACAAUAGCCGUCAAUAGCAGUGGUACCUACGAAAAAUGGUAAUAAUGGUAGAGGACGUCCAUAAGGUAAGUGAGGAGGAAAUCACGAGGCCGCGGAGGCAGGGGAAAUGGUAAUGCAGGAAGAGGUAUAGUACAUCCAGGUAGAUAAGUCGAUCGUCACGAUGAUAGUGCUCAGUGUUAUGCCUUUCUGGGCAAGAAUAAAGUAGAGGCGUCUAACGCAGUGAUCACAUUUAUUAUUCUUGUCUAUGACUGGAUGGCUAAUUUGAUCCGGGUUCUACUUAUUCUUAUGUAUCCGUGAGAUUUUUGCCUCAGAAUUUGCUAUGGUUUAUGAUAUACUUGAUUCCCCAACCAGGUUUCUACCCCAGUUUGAAAGUUUUUCAUAGUCACCCAUGUCUAUCGUGCUUUUCCUAUUUUGUUUAUCAGUUUUCAGACUUGGGCUGAUUUGGCUAUUUUUGGAUAUGACUGACUUCGAUAUAAUCUUAGGCAUGACUUGGUUGUCCCUCUAUUAUGUUGUACUUAAUUGUAACACUAAGUCUGUAACUCUAGAAAUUCCGUGAAGGGAAAAGUUACAGUGGGAAGGGAUGUACAAGCAUAAGUAAGCUAAAAUCAUAUCCUUCAUUCGGGCUACGAAACUGGUAGGGCAAGGUUGUAUUGCUUAUUUGGCUCAUAUCCGGGAUGUUAAGGUUGAGUCUCCAUCUAUUGAGUCCAUUCUUGUGGUGUCAGAAUUUAGAGAAGUGUUUCCUACUGAUUUGCCUGGUAUGCCUCCUGAUGGAGAUAUAGACUUCUGCAUCGAUUUGGAACUUGGUACUCGUCGCAUUUCCAUACCUCCGUAUCGCAUAACUGAUAUACCGUGAGUUUACGAUAUUUUUUAAUACAUUUCACUUAAAAGUUGUGUGUGUCUAGGGCCAUUUUGUAUUGGUAUUAAUGUAUUUUUAUCAUGUUUGAAGGAAAUAAGUUCGGACAUAGAAGUUAAGAGACAGUUGAAGUAUGUGUAGAAAAGGGCAUCUACGGAUGUGAACUACGGACCGUAGGUCCAGUCACUCCCAGUAGAUGGUAGACAUAGAUGGGCAGGCAAGGUUCAAGAAAAAUCAGGGAAUUCUUGACCACGUGUGGAACCACGGUUGGAAAUGAUGGACCGUAGGUCGACCUAUGGGCGGUCCUGCAAGUCCGUCAAAUGAUCCAGAGAGUGGAUUCCAGUACCUCAUUUUGAAGAUUCUAAGUAUGGAGCUACGGAGGAGGAUCCAUGGAUCGUGGAUUAAACCACGGUCCGUACUUUUGAUCCGUCAAUUGCGUCAAAGAUAAUGAUUUUUGAAGUUGGAAAAUUUGCCUAAGUCCUGAACCACGGAAGGGACCUACAGACAGUAGGUCAAUCCACGGUCCGUAGGUCAGUAUUGUAAAUCGAAAUCGCAUCCUGAAACAUUAUUUCCUUAUUUUGUUUCCUUUUUAGUUGGGACUUGUUUUUUUUAUAUAUAUGGCAUGUAAACCUCGUUUUUGGGGGUUAGACUUUAUUACUUUUAUUCUAGUUUUUGGCUUUGGAGAUUAACUUGCAAUUUUAGCAAUUCUUGAUUUCCUAAGUUCGUUUUGAAGAUUUUGACUUUGAAAUUCAAGUUGAGAUUCUGGGUUUAUUCUUCUCAUUAUGAAAGUUCAUGAUUUCUUCAUCUAAAAAUAUGAAUUGUGUUCUGUCUACAAUGGGUAACUAAAUCCACAACUAGGGUUGUGGGAACCAUGAGCGAUUAACAAAGUAUGAAUAGUAACUAAGUAAUUCUUUAAUAGUGUUGUUGCAUGCAUUAAUAAUUCUUUCGUUUAGAAGUUUUAUUAGCAAUUGCAAACGUUAGAACUCGCCUUGUUGAUACUUGCCGGACCAAGGAGGUAGUUAAUAAGAAAAGAAUUAUCAACAUAAAUUUAGUGUGAUACUAUCUAAUAGUCUAAUGUCGAUUGGUGCGAGGGUGAAAACUAAGCCAUACAUCGAUUUGAUGUCUAAUAUGAGGUAAAGGUAACAGUUAGUAAAUUAUACACACGUAGUUGGACAAAGGUGCGGGGUGAAAUUCUCUAGUUGCUGGACCAAGGAACUAGAGAUACGUAACUUAUCACUUUGCAUGUAAUACAGUAGGAAAGGAUUACUAUUACUAGGAUUACCGCGUUAUGAGCUUAUGGGGAACACGUACACCCUAGUUUAUCACUUAUCUUGAUAACAACUAAUGUUUGAAUCUUGCUCACUGAUUGUUCACAUAAUUUCCAGAAUUUGUUUCACAAAUCUCCCAUUUAAUUACAUGUUUUUGAAGUACAUUGUCUAAAAUAAUAGAAUUGUAAGUUUCGUUUAAGUCUAAACCCAUAUUCCUCGUGGGAUCGACCCCAACCUCCAAGUUGGGUUCUUUACUUGAUAACGAUCGCUUAUACUUCUUUAGGGAGGUGUAAUUUGAGCGUAUCAAAUUUUGGCGCCACUGCCGGGGAAUAAGGCUUUUAGAUUAAGUUUAACUACAUUAUUGAACUUUAGUCAAAUAUUUCACAAUUUUACUUUUUCUUUUGUUUUUGUUUCUCUCAGGUUCCUACUCUAGUGUAUGCCAAGUACACGGAGCCAUGGUGAGCCACUUACUCCUUACGAUCCAGAAUUGAGAAGAACUUUGCGAAGAAUGAAUAACCAAGGAAUUAAAGAUACCUAACUUAUUACUUUGUAUGUAAUACACUAGGAAAUGAUUACUAUUACUAGGAUUACCGCGUGUUGAGCUUAUGGGGAACACGUAAACCUUACUUUCUCUCUUAUCUUCAUAACAAUUAAAGUUUGAAUCUUGCUCACUGAUUGUUCACAUAAUUUUCCAGAAUUUGUUUCACAAAUCUCCCCAUUUAAUUACAUGUUUUUGAAGUACAUUGUCUAAAAUAAUAGAAUUGUAAGUUUCGUUUAAGUCUAAACCAUAUUCCUCGUGGGAUCGACCCUAACCUCCAAGUUGGGUUCUUUACUUGAUAACAAUCUCUUAUACUUCUUUAGGGAGGUGUAAUUUGAGCAUAUCAAAUUUUGGCACCACUGACGGGGAAAUUUAGGUGAUAUUGGGAGAAACACAUUUGCAGUCCAAUCUAUAACUAACGAAUCUACUGAUGAUAUUCGUGAGGAAAUGGCUCAGAUGAGGACAAAACUGGAGUUGGUCCUGAAGCAUGUGAGCGGAAGUGCGGAAAAGGUAAAUGUGGUCAAUUACUAGACUAGGACUCCACCACCACCAGAGGAAGAAUAUUACUACGAGGAGGAUGCUUAUUUGGUGAAUGAUCAGACGGGGGGUUUCCAAGCCAACACGUGAGGUUCCAACUCGGAUAAUUGGCACCAAGGGCAAGGAAACCAUGGUAGAAACUACGCAAACUACAAUCGAGAAGGUCAAUAUGUCCCGGAUGGGAACUACAAUCGUGACAACAACUGCAACCGGAACAACUAUGGCAACAGAAAUGAUCAGGUUGGACCUUCUGUUCCUCCUUAAAAUCGGGAUUCUGGUUAUAGAGAAGCUAGAGGUAAUAUAUCACAUAUUGAGGAUAUGAUGUAGAAUAUGAUGAAGUGGUUUGAUGCGAGCAAUGAGAAUGUUAAUGAGAUGGGAAAUGACUUGUCUGCUAUUGGUCAAAAAGUUGAUGCCCAUACAGUGUCGAUCAAGCAUCUCGAGCAACAGAUGACUCAGUUGUCCACUACAUUAAACCCACGUCAACCUGGCACACUUCCUAGCAACACCAUCCAAAAUCCAAAGAAUGAUGGGCAUUGUAUGGCAGUCACUACUCAAGGGGGUAGGCAGACCAAUGGUCCACCGAUAUUGUCUGGGGUGGAAGUUGAGGCUAGUAAAAAUGAUGAUGUGAUUGAGGUAAAGAGAGAGUCCGAGAAUGCGAAAGAUGAAGAAGUGGAGAUAAACCAUAAAGUUGUUCCCAUGCCUAAACCUCCACCUCCUUUUGCACAGAGAUUAGUAUGUUGAAGGUAAAAACCCCAGGUUUAUUAGUAUGUUGAAGCAACUUUCCAUCAAUGUGUUGUUGAGAGAAGCUUUGGAGCAAAUGCCUAGGUAUGAGAAGUUUAUAAAGGACUUGGUAACUAAAAAGCGAGCCGUGAGUUUUGAAGAUGAUGAUAUGUUGCAACACUGUAGUGUUAUUGCUAUAAGGUCCCUUAUGUAGAAGAAGGAGGAUCCUAGUGCCUUCACUAUUCCUUGUACCAUUGGGUUGCUACAUUUUGCAAAGGACUUGUGCGAUUUGGGUGCCAGUAUCAAUUUGAUGCCAUUGUCUAUUUACAAGAAGUUGGGUUUAGGGGAUCCAAAACCAACUGCGAUGCGACCACUUAUAGGUGAUAGAACUUUGAAGAAGCCCAUUGGUGUGCUCCAAGAUGUACUAGUGAAAGUGGAGUCUUUUAUCUUUCCCGGGAAUUUUGUGAUACUUCGUUGUGAUGUUGACUUUGAGGUUCCCAUUAUCCUUGGGAGACCAUUCUAGCCACUAGGCGCGCAUUGGUUGAUAUGGACAAAGGGCAGAUGAAGUUCCGAUUGAAGAAUCAAGACGUAACUUUCAAUUGCGGUAGGUCCAUGAAGCAGAGUAGUGAGCUCAAAUUGGUAUCCAUGGUGACGCAUAUUAUAGAGAGUAGUUUUGAAGUGUCUGUUCAAGAGAAUUUGGGUGUUGAUACACUAGCAGCGGUAAUGAUGAACUUGAAGAGUGAUGGUAUUGAACACUAUGAUGAAUUGGUCACCGCACUUGAUAGAUUUGAAUUUCGUUCAAAACCAUAGAGAUUGGAGUUAGACAUGAAGAAUUGCGCCGCUCCACCUGCUAGACCGUCUGUUAAAGAGGCUCGAAAUUUGGAGCUUAAGGCUCUACCAUCACAUUUGAGGUAUGUAUUCUUGGAGAAAGAUUGUACUUUACCAGUCAUCAUUGAGGCAGAUUUGAAUAUGGCACAAGUUGAGGCAUUGGUUUCCAUGUUGAAAAGGUUCAAGCGAGCUACUUUGUGGACUAUUGCGGACAUUAUUGGGAUUCCUCCUGAUAUUUGUUCUCAUAAAAUUCAACUCAUUCCGGAUCACAAGCCUAUUACUGAGCACCAUAGUAGAAUAAAUCCGCCUAUGCAAGAGGUAGUUAAGAAGGAAAUCAUCAACUGGUUGGAUGCUGAAGUUAUUUAUCCUAUUGCAGAUAGUAGUUGGGUGUGUCUUGUUCAGUGUGUGCCCAAGAAAGGUGGGAUUACUGUGGUUCCUAAUGAGAGAAACGAGCUUGUUCUGAUGCGGCCCGUGACUGGAUGGAGAGUCUACAUGGACUACCGGAAAUUAAAUGUUGUGACAGAAAAUGACCAUUUUCCUAUGCCGUUCAUGGAUCAAAUGUUGGACCGACUUGCGAGUAAGGGUCGGUAUUGUUUCCUUAAUGGUUAUUUGGUCUACAAUAUAAUUUCUAUAGCUUCGAGAGACCAAGAGAAGACCACAUUCACUUGUCUUUAUGAGACUUUCGCAUUCAAAUGGAUACCAUUUGGGUUGUGUAAUGCUCCAGCGAGCUUAAAGCGUUGUAUGAUGUCGAUAUUUUCUGAUAUGGUGGAGGACACUAUUGAGGUAUUUAUGGAUGAUUUCUCUGUGGUAGGUGACUCUUUUGAUCGUUAUCUAGACCAUUUGGCCGAGGUACUUAAACGGUGUGAAAAGUGUAAUCUUGUGCUCAAUUAGGAGAAGUGCCACUUCAUGGUGAAAGAAGGGAUAGUUCUGGGUCAUCGAAUCUCUGAGAAGGGUAUUGAGGUUGAUAAAGCGAAAGUUGAGGUAAUAUAAAAGCUUCCACCACCUAUCUAUGUUAAAGGUGUUAGAAGUUUUCUUGGGCAUGCAUGUUUCUAUAGAAGGUUCAUCAAUGAUUUUUCCAAAAUUUCACAUCCAUUGUGCAAACUACUCGCAAAGGGGUAUAACUUUGAUUUUGAUGAUGCUUGUCUGAGAGCAUUUGGAGAGUUGAAGGAGAAGUUAGUUACUGCACCUAUUAUUAGUUCACCAGAUUGGGGACAACCAUUGGAGGUAAUGUGUGAUGCGAGUGGAGUGGCACUUGGUGUAAUAUUGGUACUGAGGUGAGAGAAGAUUCUUCAUCCAAUUUACAACGCUAGCAAAGCUCUAAUUGUGGCUCAAAAGAACUGUACAGUGACUGCACAAGAGCUACUUGUGGUAGUUUUCGCAUUCGAGAAAUUUCGAUCCUACUUGCUUGGUACUAAGGUCAUAGUGCAUACUAACCAUUCUGCAUUGAGGUAUUUGAUGGCUAAAAUGGAUGCAAAACCGAGGUUGAUUAGAUCUGUGUUUUUGCUGCAAGAGUUCAAUUAUUUGGUGAAAGAUAGAAAGGGGACAAAAAAUCAGGUUGCCGAUCACUUGUCUAGAUUGGAGGAAGAAGAUAUGAUCAAGCUUGGUGAUAAUGCUGAAAUUAAUGAUGCUUUUACAGAUGUACAAGUAUUGGUCGCUUCUCAUGAUCUAAUUCAUUGGUGCGCAGAGUUUGCUAACUAUUUGGCAAGUGAUCUGGUGCCACUUUUCACCAAAGGAAAAAUUUUAUGUAUGAUGUGAAGAAGUUCUUUUGGGAUGAGCCUUACUUGUAUCAUAGUUGUGUUGAUGGGCUUAUCCGUCGUUGUGUGCCCAUGUUUGAGAUGUUGAGUAUACUAGAGGCGUGCCAUGCAUCGCCUAUUGGUGGGCAUCAUAGUGGUAUUCAGAAUGUGCAUAAAAUUUUGCAGUGUGGGUAUUACUGGCCUACCAUCCACCAAGAUGGUCAUGAUUUUGCCAAGUCUUGUGACCGUUGCCAAAGAGAAAGAGGAAUUUCAAAGAGACAAUAGGUUCGUAUGAACCCUAUAUUGGUGAUAGAGUUGUUUGAUGUAUGUGGCAUUGAUUUUAUGGGUCCAUUUGUGAGUUCACACGGGAUGAAGGAUAUUCUUGUCGCGGUUGAUUAUAUGUCGAAGUGGAUGGAAGCAAUUGCGCUUCCUGAUGUUUGCGUAAUCAAGACACAACUUCCGAUACAAGUGUCUAAGAUCGUACAAUAGUUUAGUAACCCAACAAAGGGUUGGGAUCGUUCCCAAGAGAGUGGUUUUGAGAAUUAAUAGAAAAAUAAAACUUAGUUCUAACUAGUCGUAGCUAAAGACAUUAACGAGUAAAAACAUUGUAAAUUAAAGGGGGACAAAAGAGUGUCAAUUAACAAUGAGGGUUUUGUCACUAGUAAGUAAAAAACAACAAAAUAAACAAGGGUUUCUAAGUAAUGAGAGGGGAUCCUUGGGAUGUGACGGGAAUAUGGGUUAAGCUAGAUUAUUGGGUACAUACUUUCGAUAGAAGAUUCAUAGAGUAAUUUUCACUAGGCUAGACUUUAAGGGGGAUAAGCUCUCUCGCGAGCAACUUACCCGGUUUCGAAUGCGUUCCUUUCGGACAACCACUUAUUGCAUUAAGAAUAGCCUCUGCCUUAAUACACUCACUCUCUCAAGCUGAACCUCAUGUCGACCCACUCACACUGACCAUCAAUAUAGUGGUCUUAGUUUUACGACCUUUCUCUCGAGCAAGCCGAAAACACAUAAAUAAACCUGUAUUUGCAACUACAAAUUCAUUAAAUUCAUCAACAACCACUAAACGAAAUCACCAUUAAACUAUGAUUAAAGUAUUAGCAAGCAAGACCCAACAAUUAUCUUAACCCAUAUUUGCUAAAUCACAGCCCAAGAAUUGGAGUUUUUAGCCACACAUCAAGAGAUAGAAAUUUAUACCUAAAUGAGCUUGCAUUCUAACGGGUAUGAAGAUUUAAAUCUUGUUACAAGCCAAGAAUGAAGAAUCCAAGAGACCAAGGUCCAAAUCCUUUGAGAUGAAACCCUCUUUUUCUUCAACUCUUCAAAACCCUCUCAAACUCUGAGCAAAAAUAACAAAACGUCUAUUCUAUAUGAAAAUUAUAAUAAUUGUUCCACUCCUAAAACUACAACUGUAACUAGUAUUUAUAGUUUUCACAGAUUUGUGUUGCAGUGGAUCAUUCAGCGUCGUUAGUCAGAAUUGCCGAUCAACUCGGCGAUUCGCCCUUUGGUGUAGUUCAUCGCCGUCUUGAACCAUCCUUCAACAUUGUCGUUCUCUGGGGUCAUUAGGCUACAUGGUACUGCUUUGCGGAACUUCUCGGCGAUGCACUGACUGAUCAUUUUUUCCGUCGACUUGAUCCUUUUUUUCGUCGACUUGAUCCUUUCCUUCAGGGUUCAACACACUAGAACAAAACGUGAAGUAAGACCCGUCGGCGACUCAACAUCCUCAGGCUUUCAUUUCUUCGUUCUUUUUAGCCUUUUCGUUCCUAUAUGUGACGUAGUGUCCAUGCUUUCCUUCAAACAUCAAAUAUCUAAAACUUAAGGGUUUUCAUUAGAUAUUUUGAUAAGAAUAAGAAUUUGAGGACACAAUUUCUAUUAAAAUAUAUCAUGAAAUGAGUCUAAUUUGGGGACUUAUCAACACCCCCAACUUAACCUUUUGCUUGUCGUCAAGCAAACUCAAGUUCAACCGUUCAAAAAGGGUGUCUCAAACAGUGCUACACAAGAGUUAAUCAUGAAUGCACACAACAAGACUUAAUUUACUUAUGCAAGGAUCAAUUGUGUACUCAAAGAUUCAAGUUGUGACACACCAUUACCAAAGAUUCUCAAGCUCGCAAUACUUGCUACAAAUGCAAGUUCAAGCUCAACUAUAGCGUUCAAAUGCCCUUACAAAAAGAAUGAUUCCAUAUUCACACAAUGGCUUCACAGUUUAAGGCUUUGGAAUCAGAUGCAACACUCACACUCCCAAAGAAGAACAUAAUGCAUAAUUUCACCCAUAAGUUUGCCCGUAUUUUUCAAUCAACAUUUGUUUCGACUUUCUCAAGAUCAAGAAGGUCUUAACAAGGCUUGUAAUGGGGCUGAGUGCAAAUGUAUGGUCAUUUAGGCUCAAUGACUUUCAUCCUCAUGAAAUGUGGUGUUCACAACACUUACUUUCCUUUUCCUUCAUCAUUUUCUUUAACGCUCAUAAGUCAUCCUAUUAUUCACUUUCCAUGGAUUAUUUGGGAACCCCAUUUCUUUUAUACUUUAUUCCACAACUUUCUUUUUCAUUCUUUUUCUUUUUGUUUUCUCUUCUUUUUUUUAUAUGGAGGGCUUCCAGUUUUCUUAAAACCAUGGGUAAGAGGAGACUUUUCCUUUUCUUUUUAUCACACCCCAACUUAGGCUUGCUAUUCAAUCAACCACAAAUCAAGAGGAUUAAGGGUAAUGGAUAAAGAAGGGUUAUGUUUUAGUCAAGUUUCUUCCAAGGAAAGGUAAGGCUCAAGAGGUGUUAAAAAGAGGUUUACACAUGGUCAUAAGGUAAUCCACAAAGAGGUAUAUGUCAAAUUGGCUCAUACUGGUAGAAGUUGCCUAAGAUCAUAUCAAGAGAUAGCACCACUCAGUUGACCAGACCAACGGGGCAAAUUCUAGGAUCUAUCAUGCAUAGUUCACAUGUAAGCUCAUCACACUAGGCAUUGACACUAUAAGCGAAACAAGACUCCACACUUUCGCUAGUGUGUAACGGUCAUCACAAGAGAAUCAUUUUGAUAAAUGGCUAAUCACAACAAGAUGCAAUAAGUUCACAUAUUGUCUACGCAACUUCAUUUGGCCUCAUCGUAGCCACACAUUCAUGUUCGUUUGAUUGAGAGCACUAUCCAAGUCAUCAAUAUUGAUCGGGACCGAGGCUUAAAUUUUGCCAAAGAACAGCCACAUUAAAUCAUACAAGAGGUGCCAAAAAUGUGUGAAAAAUUUAAAAAAAAUUGAAAGGGUCCAAAUCAUUUUGCAAUUUAAAAUAAAAGGAGCCAUAAGCUCAAACAUCCAUAUCAACAGAUAAAACACAAUAUUUAAACACAAAUCCCAAAUAUACACAACAUACGAACAUCAAAUAGCACACAAAGGUGGACCUCACCCCACCACAAAUAAAAGAAAUUUGUCCUCAAAUGCAAUUAACACAGAAUCUGAAAGGUAAAAUAAAUAAAGAUAGAGAGGAAGGGAAAGAGGGGAUCCUGGUUAAUUGGUUGCUCCAUUUGUCUGGGUUUCAAUGCCCGGAGUGUUGUCAUUUUGCUUCUGGUUCUCUUUUUCUUUUCGCUUUGUUUCAGCUUCAGUAGUGAUAUUAGCCUCGAUCAUAUUAUCCAACUCGUAAGUUGUCACAAAGGCGUGUAUCACAUUGCUGAACCCUCGAGCCCACGAAGGGACAUUUGAGUCGACGGGCAUCCUCAUCCUCAAACUGGUUGUCUUGUUCUUGCUCCUUGCAGUUCUUAUGAACUUUUGUGCUCUUAUGUGUCUGGGUGGAAUGUUUCUUCAUGCAGAUUUUGUUCUGGCCAUGUCUGCAAAGUCUUGAGAUAAUGUUUGAACAUACUUGACAAAAAAAAAAGACAUUCAGCUGCAAAAAAACUAGAUAGUCCAUUCGGCGAGCCACAAACAAUCCGCCGAAGGUCACUGUGCAGAAGGAGUUAGGGGUGUAGACAAAGGGUGAAUAAGAACACUUUCGGCGAGUCGCGGAGUGCUCUAGGUGAUCUCAUGCUUCUCACCGAAAGUCACAGAUGCCACAACAAAUAAAGCAUGAUAAUAAGGACGAGAUAGGGUAAUUAGGUGAAUCACAGAGUAGUUCGGCGAGCUAGUCACAACUCACCGAAUGACCCAACGUGCCUAAUUUUGACCCAACUUCUCAAAAUCAGCCCCGCAACCCCCGAAAACAAAAUUAAGGAUCAAAAAGCACAAAUUCAAAUAGGACCCAUAAUAUACGCAUACCACUCAUCACACAUUAACCCCAUUCUAUGCAUUGGAGAACAAGGUUUCAACCGUUCAUGCAGUAAAUGCAAGGUUAUAUAAGAAGAAUCGAUACAUAAAUAAAUAUGCCCAAUUAGGAAGGUUCAACAGAUUUCGACAAGAUCAUACAUUUGCAAAUGAGCACACUUUUGACAAGAUAGUUAUGGGGUUCGGGAUACUAAUCUUUUGUGCUAUGGGAUGCUAGGAAGCAAUGAACUCCGACUCCAAGCACAAAACAAUCAACGAAAAUACAAUAAAGAUGCAACGAUAUUGAUAAUAAGAUUAGGUGUAAGCUUGCAACAUUUGAAAAUGAGGGAAAGAAUAGGAGAUUCAAACUUCUAAACCUUUGCUUGCAAAACCGUCCAGUUUUUGCCCAUUCGGCCACAUUAGCCCCGAUCGCUGAUCUAUUCAGCAUAACGCCAAAUAGUCAUUUGCCCCACAAAAGUUUACACACCGUCCAUGAUGUGUGGGAGUCCAAACGGCGGUCUCUGUCGGGAUCGCCGACAUGAUUGGCGGUUCGCUAAUAAUUUCCUAUGCUCGUCGAGUUUUACAGACUCCAAUGUAAGUUGAUCUUGACUCUAACAUCGGUCUAGUUCGAAGUCACCGAACCGUUUGGAAAUUCGUUAAUUAGACCUGUUGCUCGCCAAUUUGCACUUUUCGUUCACUCUCCACAGUUCCAUUUGCAGAAUCAACACACCAUUAUUUUAUCAAAGCAACAUAAAGCAAUAAAGGGUUUUGGGUUGCCUCCCAAACAACGCCUUAGUUAAUGUUGUGGCACGACGCAAGUCCACCUUCAAACCUCAUACUUGGGGUUAGCCAUAGUAUAACUAAGCAAACCCGAUUGCUGUCUCAGAUUUAGGUGAGACGAGAUAUGACCCAUCUGGGUUUUUAACUGCUUGGUUGAAACUGAAUUGGAGGUGACAGUAUGGCUAAGGGUAGAUACAUCUUCUUUCAUGCCUUUUAGCAUUUUGUCUGACCCUUGAACUUUGUUGAAGAUAUGUGAGAGCAUAUCGUCAGACCUACCACAUUCCAAAUCCUUGGGUUUUUGGCGCUCAUGGGGAGGUACAUAUCUAUCCUUUUCCCCAUCAUUCCAAUUCGGAUUACGGUCCCUCCAGUCACGAUCUUGUUCCUUCCAACCUUCGUCUCUAGUCCAACCUUGCUUACCACCCUGCCUUGGGUAAUUUGAGCGGUAGCCACCAUCUUAGUUGGCUAGAAAAUUUACCUCAUCGUUAUAUAAGGCUUCAAACUUAAUUUUCAAUUAACACACCCGACCCCCAUAGUGUUGACACCAUGGGCACCAGCCCCCAUGACAUUUUUGGAUAAAAUAUCAAGUUGCGUCAUGAUUUUGGCCAUGUUCUGGUCUCUCUCAUUGUCCUUUUCAAUCUGCUCCUUGGAUAACUUGAAGGUGAGAGGGGAGACUUGGUCCUCACGAGUGUACCAUGCUCUGUUAAUGGUUGUCAUGCCAUUUAAAAGCUGGGUUGCUAAUGCAUACGACUGCUGCAUUAAGCCUCCCGGCGAGAGUUGGUCAGCGACACAUUUGUUUACCGAGUCCAAACUUUGGUAGAAGUACUAAAGUACCACGUUAUAAGGCAAGCCAUAGGCUAGGUAUUGUAGCACCAACUCUUUGAACCGAGCCAAGUCUCGUGCAGAGGCUCUCCUUCAAGACGCUUAAAGUUCUGGAUGUUAUCCCUAAGUGACAUCAUCUUUGAGGGAGGGAACAAUCGCACCUGAAAUAUGGUUACCAGUUCCUCCCAAGAAGUGAUGGAUUCUCGCGUCAACUCGGCUAGUCAUUUGCACGCCUCUCCCAUCAACGAGAAAGGGAAUAACCUUAAUCAGACUUACUCCUGCAGGAUGUUUUUGAAAGAGAAUGGUCCUCAUACAUCUACGAAGUUUCGAAGAUGCUCGUGAGGAUCCUCAUGAGCCAAUCCACUGAAAAGUCACUUUAGUUGCAAGAGUUGCAACAUGGUGCUCGUUAUGCGGAACACUACAUUUCCCUCUGCUGGGGGUAAACAGAUUGCUUCAACACCUCCCCUGAGAUGGGGGUCAUUGAUGGUGGGAUCAUUGAUGUUGGGCUCUUGGACAUCGUUGAGAUUACCGAUGUCGUCUUGGGGGCCCACCUGACUGCCGUUUGCACCGUUAAAACUCAUGAUUUCUGUAAUAUUCACACAAGCACACAAAACAAAACUAUCUAUUAGGUAAGUAGACUACAACUAAGAAGAACAAAAAAUAUACUAAUCUAAGAAUUCCUAAAUAACAUCAAUCUCUGGCAGCGGCGCCAUUUUCAUGUUUGCGUAAUCAAGACACUACUUCUGAUACAAGUGUCCAUGAUAAUACUAUAGUUUAGUAACCCAACCAAGGGUUCUGAUCGUUUCCAAAAGAGUGGUUUUGAGAAUUAAGAGAGAAAUAAAACUUAGUUCUUACUAGUCGUAGCUAAAUAUAUUAACGAGUAAAAACAUUGUAAAUUAAAGGGGGACACAAAAGUAUCAAUUAGCAAUGAGGGUUUUGUCACUAGUAAGUAAAAACAACAAAAUAAACAAGGGUUUCUAAGUAAUGAGAGGGGAUCCUUUGGAUGUGAUGGAAAUAUGGGUUAAGCUAGAUUAUUGGGUACAUGCUUUCGACAGAAGAUUCAUAGUGAAAUUUUUACUAGGCUAGACUUUAAGGGGGAUAAGCUCUCUCGAGCAACUUACCCUGUUUCAAAUGCGUUCCUCGCGAACUCUCACGUGCUGCAUGAAGAACAACCUCCGCCUUAACCCACUCACUCUCUCGAGCUGAGUGAGUGGACAUGGGAGUAGGGUUCAUUCUCUCGAGCUGAACCUCAUGUCCACCCACUCACACUGGCCAUCAAUCUAGUGGUCUUAGUUUUACGACCUCUCUCUCGAGCAAACCGAAAACACAUAAGUAAACUUGUAUUUGAGACUACAAAUUCAUUAAAUUCAUCCACAACCACUAAACAAAAUCACAAUUAAAUUAUGAUUAAACUAUCAGCAAGCAAUACCCAACAAUUAUCGUAAUCCAUAUUUGCUAAAUCACACCCCAACAAUUGGGGGUUUUAGCCACACAUCUAGAGAUAGAAAUUUAUAACUAAAUGAGUUUGUAUUCAAAUGGGUAUGAAGAUUUAAGUCUUGUUACAGUCUAAGAAUAAAGAAUCCAAGACAGCCAAGUCCAAAUCCUUGGAGUUCAAACCCUCUUUUUCUUCAUGUCUUAAAAACCCUGUCAAACUCAGAGCAAAAAUACCAAAAAGUACUAUUCUAUAUGAAAAUUAUAAUAAUUGUUCCACUUCUAAAACUACAACUUUAACUAGUAUUUAUAGUUUUCACAGAUUUCUGUUGCAGCUUAUCAUUCGGCGUCGUUAGUCGUAAUCAUUGAUCAACUUUACGAUUCACCCUUUGGUGUAGUGCAUCGCCGUUUUGCACCAACCUAAAGCAUCGUUGUGCUCUGGGUCAUUGGGCGACAUGAUACUGCUUCACGGAACUUCUCUGUCAUACGCAGACUGCUCCCUUUUUCUGCCGACUUGAUCCUUUCCUUCAGGGCUCAGCACACUAGAACAAAGAGCGAAGUAAGACCUUGUGGUGACUUGCCCAGUGGACUUGGUAAUCCGCAGGCCUUCAUUUCUUCAUUCUUUUCAGAAUUUUCGUUCAUUUUUUCGACGUAGUGUCCAUGCUUUCCUUCAAACAUCAAAUACCUGAAAGUUAAGGGUUUUCAUCAGAUAUUGAGAUAAAAUAAGCAUUUGAGGACACAAUUUCUAUUAAAAUAUAGCCCAAAAUGAGUCCAAUUUGGGGACUCAUCAUUUCCCAACAAUGAAGGUAAAAGUGUUACCGAGUUCUAGAAAAGAAUAUUUUUUCCAAAUUUGGUACACCUAGGGCGAUUAUCAGCGAUUGAGGUUCUGACUUUUGCAAUUAGUUGUUCAAGGCGUUACUUGGAAAAUAUGGCGUCCACCACAAUGCAUCCACUCCUUACCAUCCACAGUCUAGUGGGCAAAUUGAAGUGUCCAACAGAGAGAUCAAGCUGAUUUUGUCUAAGACUAUGAAUGCUAAUUGAACUGAUUGGUCAAGGAAGCUUCAUGAUGCUCUAUGGGCCUACCGCACAACAUUGAAGACUCCCAUAGGUAUGUUCCCCAACCAACUUGUAUAUGGGAAGUCUUGUAAUAUUCCGGUAGAGCAUAAGGGUAUGUGGCUGCUAAAGAAGCUAAAUUUGGAUUGGGGCACCGCAUCAAAUCAGAGAAUGGGUGACUUGAAUGUGCUUGAUGAGUUUUGCCUAAAAGAUUAUGAAAGUUCAGCCUUGUACAAGGAGAAGAUGAAGAAGUAUCACGAUCAAAGGAUUGAAAAGUGAGACUUUGUUGUGGGUGAACUUGUGCUUCUAUUCAACUCUAGGUUGUGCUUGGUUUCCGGGAAAGGUCAAGUCCAAGUGGACUGGGCCAUUCUUAGACACGCAAGUGCUCCCAUAUGGAGCGGUGGAUCUUGAGAACAGUGAGGGAACAAGGUUUAAGGUAAAUAGGCAAAGGAUGAAGAUCUAUCUGGGAAACGUGGAAAGUGUGCAAGAAGUUGUUGAGCCCUACUAUCUUGAUGAAGUUUGAGUAAUUAAGAGGCCCGUGUUGUGCCACGACGUUAAAUUAAGCUCUGCUUGGGAGGUAACCCAAGAUGUACAAUCUAGCCAACCAUAUGUUCUUCUUUUCGAUUUAGUAGUUUUCCUUGUUUAUUUGCUUUUCUGUAUUCCGUUAGAUAGGUGCUUUAUUUUUGUCUUAGUGUUGGCUAGAUAUAACAUAGGGUUCAUGUUUAAAAAAAGUGUCCACAAAAUGUAAAAAGAAAGGCCUAAUGGUUGCUAUAUGUGUAGGGGCGACAAGUACAAAUCUGCAGAAAAGGUCUGUGCAGAGGUCUAUGGACCCCAUCGAUGGUUUGUGGUUCAUUCCAUGGACCGAGAAUGGCGUCCGUAGUUCCCAGGUAAGACUUCUAAAUUUUCCUAAGUGUAAAGGUGACCGACGGACCCCAUCUACGGACCGUAGGUCGACCCACGGACCGUAGACGGGGUCAUGUGGGUCCAAACCCUAGUUCUUCCUGACCUGACCCAGACCUCUUUUAAAUAAAAACUUCCUUUUUAAAAUCAUUCCCCACUUUCCAUAUUUUCCUCCUAACUGUUUCUAAACCCCUCAAAAUGAUAAAAUCCCUCCAUAUUACCACCAUUCCCCCAUUAAUCACUCCAUAUUCAUCCUCCCAUAUUCCCAAUUCACUCUCCUCUCUCCCAAAUCCCUUCAUUUCCAAUUUCCCAAAGGUUUCAGUAUUCGGGUUCGGUUCAAAAUGCCAGUUAAAAGUUGUUGGAAGUCAAGAGUCAUCACAUAAUCACCCAUUUCCUUUGCUUGUAAGGUAAUCGACUUUCCCUUCGCUUUGAAUUCCGGUUCAUUGUUGUUAAAGAAAGUCAAGAAGUGGAUGUUGACCGUGGUUAAUUGUUUUAUGAAAUUGCACGCUAAACUACAAUUAGAAACACCCUUGGGACGGUAGAUUGUGAUUGUGUUGUCAUUGUAAUGUGUAAAACCAAUGUAAUAGGAGUCUAAAUGCAAGUUUCAACCUAGGGUUCCUAGCCUCGUAUGUAAUACAUGUUGAAAAGUGAGUAAUUGGAACCUUUGGGAUGACAAACUAGCAUAUAUUAUGUUGUAAUGCAUGAUUAGACCUAGCUUAAUAGUUGAAAUCGUUAAAAAAUAAAUGCUUUAAACAAGAGGCAUGACCGAAGAUCAGUAUACGGACCGUAGAUUAGGUCCAUGGUCUGUGGAACAAUGCAAUUUCACUAAGUGUAGAACUACGGAGGUGGACUAUGGUCCGUAGGUCAAUCUACAGACCGUUCUGCACAUCUGUGGUUCCCACCACAGCCCAGCUUUUUGGGACUUUUGACCUACGGAGGGGAUCGACGGACCGUAGGUCAACGUACGGACCGUAGAAACCCACCAUAGGUGGCCACUGAAGCCAUUGUUUGGAAUUUUUAUUUUGUUCAUUAUUUGUUCUAAAAAAAAUUAAGUGUGUCUUUAGUUCAUAUUGGUACUAAUACUUCCUCCACAUGUACAAUGGCCCCAAAGAAAGCUAUAGCUGUCAAGGGUAGAUCAAAAUCAAUGGCUCCUACCCGUCGGCUAAUUGACGAGGAUACUGAUGCUAGGAUAGACCCCAAAUAUGUCCCCUCAUUGGAAGGACAUCACCCACAACACCCCGAGCUUCUCGAAAUCAAGCCAAGAAGGUGGUCCCCGAUGUAGUCACUACCUCUCAUUCAGAUGAGGAGGAUACAUUGAUCGGGUCACCGGCUGGAUCUGCUUCCGGAUCUGAGUCCGCCUCUGCUGCAGGGUCUGCUUCUGUGUCUGCCUUGUCUGAUGGCUAGGCUGCCUUGUCUGAUGUGGCGACUAGUUUGGGGGAGGUUCAAGUGUCACAAAAUAAUGACCCUACUCUAGUUGCGGAGGAUCCAAAUAGGUGGUGCGUUGAGGAUCAAUGGAAGAUAUACAGGGAUGCCUCAAUGUUUUAAUGAGAAGAGAAAGAAGGCCCGGCUGAUCACUGAGGAUUGCAGAGUUCUCACGGGGAGUCUACACACCAUACCCGACAUCCACUGGCUCUAUCAGAAACACAAAUGUGAGUUGAUGGAUUGGAGACCUGGGACCUAUAGCGAGGAGAUAGUGAGAGAAUUAUAUGCCUCCUAUGCUACCUCACUCUUUGGGUUUAUCGACAAGAGGUCAAAACCAACAAUCCAGGACCCUCUCACUUCCACUCUAAUCUAAGGCGUUUUGAUGGACAUAUCACAGGUCACCAUCAACCUAUUCCUCUACAGUUCGGGCAACAGGUGGGCACUCAACACCGAUGAAUUUGACUACCGAUGGGACUUUGUGAGGAGUGCAGCGUUCCAGUGGAAUGCAGAGCAGAGGGAGGCCAUAUUACUUUGGUUGGCAAGGCAUAUUGCUGCAGAUGGAGAGCGUGUGGAGUGGGUCAGCACACUGCGCUUGGGUAUUCAUAAGGCCACCCUCAAUUUGGUGGCCAACUUCUUUUGGCUUUUGGUGCGAAAUAGGGUAUCGCCCACUAAGGCUAAUAAUACGCUUACAUGGGAUAGAACAAUGAUGGUUGCAACCUUGGUAGCUGGGUUCGAGAUCAACUUUGCCCGCAUGCUGUUGGCGGAGAUCCAUGAGAGGGCAUUCAAGACCACCACCACUUUACCCUUCCCGUUUAUGAUCUUCCAAUUAUGCAGGGAUUCAGGGGUCCCUAUUUGGCAUUGUGACACUUUGGUACAGGCGAUCGAGACAUUUGAUAUCAGCGUUUUUUGGGAUGAGGCUAACGUAGCUGCCGCGCGAUGUGGUCCAAAAAUUGCGGUGCCACUAUUAUUAGUAGAUUUAGUAGAUGAUGGUUGGCCAGGCAUAUUGCUGACACCACUGAGGAUGCUCGAGCUAGGAAGAGGGAACGCCAGCAGAAUGAGCAGGCUAGGAGAGCCUCCAUUGUAGAUGAGGAACUGCGUCAGCAGACGGGUCAGGAAAGUAUUAUGGGAGCCUCGAGUUCUAGGCCCACUACUGAGGCUGCGGAUGCUAUGGGGGAUGAUGUGAGCACCACUGAUGGUGUAUUUAGAAUGAUUGAUAGCACUACUGAUGGUGCGGUGAUAGAUGAUGUGAGUACUAUAGAAGGUGACCCAAGGGUUGUUCUAGUGGGCUCCGGGAAACCGGACCCACCUGCUUGUUGAGUUCUUCGGCGCAUUUGCGCCACAUGUUUGAUUCACCUUCACCUUAUUCUUUAUUGCUUGUUUUUGUGCAUUGGGGUCAAUUGCACUCUAUGUUGUUGGGGGUGGGUUAAAUGGAUUGUGAGUGAUAGGGUGAAGUCUGAGUAACCCAACUCAUAAUCCUCUCAUGGGGUUUUCUUGCCUAAGUUAUUUCCCCCCAAGAAACUGUUUAAUUUAUGUUGAACUAACAUGUGUUAGGAUUGUAUGUCUAGAAGCAUGAGAAAGAAUGAAGCAUGAUGGCAUAAUUAAUGAAAGAAAAGUGAUACCCGUCCAAAAGUUGUGAUAUGUGCUAAAAUAAGUAGGCUAGAAUGAGUUGAAUGUGUUGGAUCUUAGUAUGACAUGAUAAAGAAAAAAAUUGAUCUCAUGACUUAAGCUAAAAAACUUGAACUAGGUAAUCUGAUAAUGAAACUGUGUGCCAAGAGUGUGUGAGAAUAGUUGAAUUAUUCAAACAGUUUUGUGCCAAUCUAGAAAUUGCCCCGUUGGUCCUGCUAGGAUAAUCUAGGCUAGAAGUUAGGAAGUGAUCAUUCGUCAUUUUUCAAAUUAGUCCACUUAAGCCUAAAAUGAUCUAACCAAAUGAUAGCAUCAUUACCUUUUGAUACAAAUAUUUGAGCCGAAAAUUGACCAAUUCUCGUGAUUCACCUAACUCACCUUCCCUUAAAAACAUUGUCUUGGCCGCGGUCCCUCCUUGGGCAUGUGCACCUUGACUUUAGUCAAAAGCCUAAGUUGAGGGUAGCUAGGCCAAAAAGUUACUUUGAUUUUGGCCCUGGUCCGACAUAGGACAUUGUGCACCUCAACUAAUGCAAAAUGCAUAAGUUGAGGGUGUCAAUGAAAAAGGGUAUGAACAGAGUUUCAUGUUGAAAAGAGUAUGGAAAAUGAUGUGAAUUUGUGCAAAAGAAGCAAAAGAAAAGUGUGCGAAGAAAUACCAAAAAAGAAAGUAAAACAAAAAGAAGAAAAUGAGAAAUAAAAGUCAAAAAGUCAAAAGUCCCAUCCUUGGUUGAAAAGAGUGAAGGGAAAGAAAAGUGAUGAAAAGUUGCCAAGAAUAGGUUAAGGAAGAGGUAGAUAGCCAAUGUAAUGUCAAGGAGGGCAGAAAGUCACUAAAAAGUACCUAAAUGUACCACACCUGACCCCGACCCUACGUUACAAGCUAAGAAAAGUCCUAUAGUGAUCCUAGCAACUAGUUUGGAGAGUCUAAGCAGUGAAAAUAAGGGCAAGCCUAUGAUAUUGAGCACUAACUGUACUUGAAAGUACUUCUGAGCGUGAGUGUUGAAUGAAUUCUUGUACUCAAAAUCAUAUUCAUUGUGUUAAAAUGGGAUUUAGUUUGAAGUAAGGGCACUAGUUACAUUGUCGAAAAGUUGGUUCCUUGGUGAUAGCAAAAAAAGUGUAUGUUAUAUGUUGAUUAGUCGAUCUUUUUCAUAUUUUGAUUCACAUGAGUUAGCUUGUUGAGUCUAAGAGAAAAUAUUUGCACUCUAAAAGACAGUCGGGAUAGAGAGUCAUGUGAUUGCUUGAUAUUGAAUGCUUGCUUCUAUACAAGUGUCGUUUAGAGUCUUAGUGCGUCGCUUGAGGACAAACUUUGAAUUUAAGUUGAGGGUGUUGAUAAACCAUGAGUUUACGGUAUUUUUUAAAUACAUUUCACUUAAGAGUUGUGUAUGUCUAGGGCCAUUUUGUAUUGGUAUUAAUGUAUUUUUAUUAUGUUUGCAGGAAAUAAGUUCGAAUGUGGAAGUUCAGAGAUAGUUAAAAAAUAUGCAGAAAAGGGCAUCUACGGCGUGAUCUACGGACCAUAGGUCCAGUCACGCCCCAUAUAUGGUAGACGUAGAUGGGCAGCCAAGGCUGAAGGAAAAUCAGGGAAUUUUUUAACAAGUGUGGAACCACGGUUGCAAACGACGGAUCGUAGGUCGACCUACGUGUUGUCAUGCAAGUCCGAAAAAUGAUUCAGAGAGGGGGUUCCAGUACCUGAUUUUAAAGAUUGUAAGUAUGGAUCCACUGAGGAGGAUCCAGGGACCGUGGAUUGAACCACCGUCAAUGUGUCGUUCAUAGAAACUUCGGAGCAAAUGUUUGGGUAUGCGAAGUUUAUGAAGGACUUGGUAACUAGAAAGCGGGUCGUGAGGUUUCUAGAUGAUGAUAGGUUGAAAAACUGCAGUGCUCUUGCUAUAAGGUCCCUUGUGCAGAAGAAGGAGGAACCUAGUGCCUUCUCUAUUCCUUAUACCAUUGGGUUGCUACAUUUUGCAAAGUUGUUGUGCGAUUUGGGUACUAGUAUCAAUUUGAUGCCAUUGUCUAUUUACAAGAAGUUGGGUUUAGGGGAUCCAAAACCGACUAUGAUGCGACUGCUUAUGGCUGAUAGAACUUUGAGGAAGCCUAUUGGUGUGCUCCAAGAUGUACUAGUGAAAGUGGAGUCUUUUAUCUUUCUGGCGAAUUUUAUGAUACUUGAUUGUGAUGUUGACUUUGAGGUUCCCAUUAUCCUUGGGAGACCAUUCUAGCCAGUGGGCGCGCAUUGGCUGAUAUUGAGAAAGGGCAGAUGAAGUUCCGAUUGAAUAAUGAAGAGGCAACUUUCAAUAUCUGUAGGUCCAUAAAGUAGAGUUGUGAGCUCAAAUUGGUAUCCAUGGUGACACAUAUUAUAGAGAGUGGUUUUGAAGUGUCUGUUAAAGAGAGAUUGGGUGUUGAUACACUAGCAGCGUUUAUGAUGAACUUUAAGAGUGAUGGUAUUGAAUACUAUUAUGAAUUGGUCGCCGCACUUGAUAGAUUUUAAUUCUGUUCAAAACCAAAGAGAUUGGAGUUAGACAUGACGAAUCCCGACUCUCCACCUGCUAGAUCGUCUGUUGAAGAGGCUAAAAAAUUAGAGCUUAAGGCUCCAUAAUCACAUUUGGGGUAUGUAUUCUUAGGGUAACAUGGUACAUUACCAUUCAUCAUUGCGGCAGAUUGGAAUGUGGCACAAGUUGAGGCAUUCUUUUCCGUGUUGAAGAGGUUCAAGCGAGCUAUUGGGUGGACUAUUGCGAACAUUAUUGGGAUUCCUCCUGAUAUUUGUUCUCAUAAAAUUCAACUCAUGACGGAUCACAAGCCAAUUAUUGAGCACCAGAGAAGACUAAAUCCGCCUAUGCAAGAGGUAGUUAAAAAGGAAAUCAUCAACUAGUUGGAUGCUGGAGUUAUUUAUCCCACUAGAGAUAGUAGUUGGGUGUGUCCUGUUCAGUGUGUGCACAAGAACGGAGGGAUUACUCUGGUACCUAAUGAGAGAAACGAGCUAGUUCCGAUGCAGUACGUGACUGGAUGUAGAGUCUGCAUGGAGUACCAGAAAUUAAAUGUUGUGACAGAAAAUGACCAUUUUCCUAUGCCGUUCAUGGAUCAGAUGUUGGACCGACUUACGGGUAAGGGUUGGUAUUGUUUCCUUGAUGGUUAUUCGGGCUACAAUCAGAUUUCUAUAGCUCCGAAAGACCAAGAGAAGACCACCUUCACUUGUCCUUAUGGGACUUUCGCAUUCAAAUGGUUACCAUUUGGGUUGUGUAAUGCUCCAGCGACCUUCAAGCGUUGUAUGAUGUCGAUAUUUUUUUAUAUGGUGGAGGACACUAUUAAGGUAUUUAUGGAUGAUUUAUCUGUGGUAGGUGACUCUUUUGAUCGUUGUCCAGACCAUUUGGCCGAGGUACUUAAAUGGUGUGAAAAGUGUAAUCUUGUGCUCAAUUGGGAGAAGUGCCACUUCAUGGUGAAAGAAGGGAUAGUUCUGGGUCAUCGAAUCUCUGAGAAGGGUAUUGAGGUUGAUAAAAUGAAAGUUGAGGUAAUAGAAAAGCGUCCACCACCUAUCUCUGUUAAAGGUGUUAGAAGUUUUCUUAGGCAUGCAUGUUUCUAAAGAAGGUUCAUCAAGGAUUUUUCCAAAAUUUCACAUCCAUCGUGAAAACUGCUCGCAAAGUUGUAUAAGUUUGAUUUUGAUGAUGCUUGUCUGAGAGCAUUUGGAGAGUUGAAGGAGAAGUUAGUUACUGCACCUCUCAUUAGUUCACCAAAUUGGGGACAACCGUUUGAGGUAAUGUGUGAUGCGAGUGGAGUGGCACUUGGUAUAAUAUUGGGACAGAGGUAAGAGAAGAUUCUUCAUCCUAUUUACUACGCUAGCAAAGCUCUAAUUGUGGCUCAAAAGAACUGUACAGUGACUGAACAAGAGCUACUUGCGGUAGUUUUUGCAUUCGAGAAAUUUUGAUCCUACUUGCUUGGUACUAAGGUCAUAAUGCAUACUGACCAUUCUACAUUGAGGUAUUUGAUGGCUAAAAGGGAUGCACAACCGAGGUUGAUUAGAUCGGUGUUGUUGCUGCAAGAGUUCAAUUUUUCGGUGAAAGAUAGAAAGGGGACAGAAAAUCAGGUUGCCGAUCACUUGUCCAGAUUGGAGGAAGAAGAUAUGCUCAAGCUUGGUGAUAGUACUGAAAUUAAUGAUGCUUUUCCAGAUGAACAUGUAAUGGCCUCUUCUCAUGAUCUGAUUCAGUGGUUCGCAAACUUUGCUAACUCUUUGGCAAGUGAUCUGGUGCCAUCAGAUUUGUCUUUCCACCAAAGGAAAAAGUUUAUGUAUGAUGUGAAGAAGUUCUUUUGGGAUGAGCCUUACUUGUAUCGUAGUUGUGCUGAUGGGAUUAUUGGUCGUUGUGUGCCCAAGGUCGAGAUGUUGAGUAUACUAGAGGUGUACCAUAAAUUGCCUGUUGGUGGGCAUCAUAGCGGUAUUCGAAAUGUGUAUAAAAUUUUGCAGUGUGGCUAUUACUGGCCUACCAUCCACAAAGAUGCUCAUGGUUUUGCCAAGUCUUGUGACCGUUGCCAAAGAGAAAGAGGAAAUUCAAAAGAGACAAGAGGUUCCUAACAACCCUAUAUUGGUGAUAGAGUUGUUUGAUAUAUGGGGCAUUGAUUUUAUGGGUCCAUUUGUGAGUUCACAUGGGAUGAAGUAUAUUCUUAUCGCAGUUGAUUAUGUGUCGAAGUGGAUGGAAGCAAUUUUGCUUCCUGAUGUUUGCGUAAUCAAGACACAACUUCCGAUGCAAGUGUCUAAGAUCGUACAAUAAUUUAGUAACCCAACCAAGGGUUGGGAUCGUUCCCAAGAGAGUGGGUUUGAGAAUUAAUAUAAAUAUAAAACUUAGUUCUAACUAGUCAUAGCUAAAGACAUUAACGAGUAAAAAUAUUGUAAAUUAAAGGGGAACACAAGAGUGUCAAUUAACAAAGAGGGCUUUGUCACUAGUAAGUAAAAACAACAAAAUAAACAAGGGUUUCUAAGUAAUGAGAGGGGAUUCUUAGGAUGUAACGGGAAUACGGGUUAAGUUACAUUAAUGGGUACAUGCUUUAGAUAGAAGAUUCAUAGAGAAAUUUUGACUAGGCUAGACUUUAAGGGGGAUAAGCUCUCUUUCGAGCAACUUACCCCAUUUCAAAUGCGUUCCUCUCAGACCCAACUGCCCCUAACUGAACCUGCCAACCCACGAUUCAUGAUACCCCACUGACGGACCGUGGUCAGGAUGACAGACCAUCCUCCACAUUCGUCAUUGGUUAUCAGAAACCUAACUUUUGGGGUCUUGGAGCAUGGACCGUGGUCUGACCGAUGGUCUAUUUGUUAGGUCAUGGUUUGUGGACCUCGGGACAGACCUGGGUCCCUGUCCACGAACCAAACCCAUGGUGCAUGGUUCUACCCACUGUCUGUGGUUGGCGUCUAUGGCUGGUACCUACAAUAUCUAAAAAUCUGCUAUAUAGCCCUUUUUCGAAUCCGGGGUGUUACAGGACCGUAGGUUAGGCGACGGUCCGUCAACUGGGUCCGUGGUUAGUAGGUCAGUGGACUGUUGUUAGUUAUUUUUCAGAGGCAGUAGGGUCUUUUCCUAAUUAAUUAAUUCCUAUACUAUCAUUUUGCCUAUAUUUAGAAGCCCUAUAUAAGUUUUUUCAACCACCAAAUUAACCUAUUUUACUUCGGUCUUCCGAAUUCCCAAAAGAAAACCAAUUCCUCUCUAUAUAUUCUCUCUCUAGAAACAUGAAGAAGAAGAAGAAGGAUUCACCUAGUGUUUCAAGCUAAGGAUUCCUCCAUUGAAAGCUAGCAUUUGGACUCAAGGUAUGGUAGUUUUCAUCCAUGGAGUUCCUAAAUCUAUCUAUUUCGAAUGGUAGAAUUCCCCAAUUGAGUUAGGGUUUUCUUCAAUUAUCGUGGGUACUCUUUAUUAUUGAUUUAAAUGAUUGAAUUAUGAUCUCUUAUGCAUGUUGAUUUUAUGAUGAUUUAACCGAUGAACCCAUGUAAUCCCCAUGUUUUCAAGUUGUGAAUCAUAUGAUGUGGGAUUUUGGUCUUCAAGGAAGAGGUAUAUAAAAUUAAGCAUUUAUUUCAAUCUUUAAACGUAUUUAUGAUGAAAUCCAUAUAUAACCCAUGUUUUAUAAGAAUUUAUUUUUGAGUGUGGGUUUUGACCUCAAGAGGUAAAUUAUGGACUUAUGCAUUAUUUUAUGAAAUCUAUGCAAAUGUAUCAAGAGUUCUUUCAGAGUAAAGUACCAAUGAUGAUGUUGUUGUUGAAAGGACAUUCUCAUAAACACAUAACUAGAAUGAUGUGAAAGGUUUUCUCACAUAGAGAGGAUUAUUAGGUUGAAAGGCAUUCUCACCUAAUUGAAUCAAAGACAAGGAGCUAUCUGAAUGAAACUAGUUUGAAUUGUUUGUCCAAGGGCACCUUUUCAUUAGUAAUGAAGUCAAUUAAGAAAUGACUAUUCCAUGGGAAUUUAUGCUUAGCACCGAGUGGAUACUGAAAUUGAGAUGGAAGCUGUCGCGUAGUAAAGUCCGAAUUUCCAAAGUAAUCUCAUGCGAUGAAAGCCCUCUCGUAGUAGAGUACUAGUUUUCUAGUAGCAAUCUCCUUAGUCCAUAACUAUGUGCCCACAUAGGGUGAUUAGCUAGUGGAUCCACUUAAGCUAGAAGUUGAGUUUCUACCUUCCGCAAGUAGAACAACCCUUUUUGGUAUGGGAGACAUUGGGGGAUGAUGUUAUAACUCACAUGGUCUCAUGUCGGUUAAGGCUAAUUUCCCCACAAGUAUUAACAAACUAAGGUUAGUUCAAGAAGUAUCACAUAUGAGUUCAAAGCUUUUAAAGAAGAAGUCUUGGCUUGACCAUGAUUUAUGACUUAUGAUUUUUAAUUUGGUCUAUUGUAUGUCAUGAAAUGAAAUGUCCCUUUUAGCAUGUUAUUGAAUGUUUUAUGCAUGGCUAUCAUACUUGGUACAUUGUUUUGAACUAAAUCAAACUCUUGCCUUUAUUUUUCCCAAAUAUAGGGGUUCGAUAUUCAUGGAGCUCAGUUUCGUAGCUAGUGGGUGAUGAGUCCAAAAAUUGGACUCAUUUAGGUCUUUAUUUUACUAGAAAUAGUGUCCUCAAAUGCUUAUUUUGUCUCAAUAUCUGAUGAAAACUAUUAAAUUUUGAAGUAUUUGAAGUUUUAGCGGAAGCAUGGACACUUAGGCACAAAAAGAAACAAAAGGCUAGAAAGAACGUAAAAACUAAAGCCUAAGCUUCGUCAAUCACUCUUGGCAAAUUGCCGAAGGGAAGCACUCCGCCCUUUGUUUCAAUACGCGAAGCCCUGAAGGAAGUGGAUCAAAAAGGUGAUGAAACGAGCAGUCGGCGCUUCACCGAACAGUUUCGCGAAGCGAUGUUAUACCACACAAUGGUCCAAAACACAAACAUGUUGAAGGCAAAGCACAAUAUGCGAUGAACCAGAAAAAGGGAGAUUCGCUGAGUCAUUCAGCGAUCAUGACUAACCUCGUAGAAUGGUCCGCCGCAACACUAAAUCUGAAAACUGUAAAUACUAGCCUUAGUUAUUAUUUUUAAGGGUGCGAAUAAUAUUGUUAAUUUUCACUUUUAGAACAUCAGUUUUAGUAUUUUUCUCUCAUGUUUGGAGAGGGUUUUGUGGGAGACUCGAAGAAAGGAGUUCAUCUUCCCCAAGUUGGAAGUGGGUCUUCUCUAUUCUUCUUCCUUUACUUAAAUUAAGGUUUAUUUUCUUAUACCCAUUUCAUUUCAUUAUCAUUUUAGGUGUAUUUUGUUAGCCCUUGAUGUGUUGCUAAAAACCCCAUUCUUGGGGUAUGAUUUAACAAAUACGUGUUGAUAUUAUUAUUGGGUCUUGAUUGCUGAUAGGUUAGAUGUAUUUUAAUGGUGAUUUCACCUAGUGGUUGUGGUUUAAUUUAAUGGGUUUGUAGUUGCAAAUACAAAGUCACCCAUGUGUUUUCGGCUUGCCCAAGAGGGAGGUCGCGAAACCAAGGCCACUAGAUUCAUGGCCUAAGGAGUGGGUCGACAUGAGGUCCAGCCCGAGAGGGUGAACCCUAGUCCCAUAGCCUAGCAGUCAGCUCGAGAGAGUGUGUGGGGUAAGGCGUAGGCUGGCCUUCAUGCGACGAAUGGGUGUCAGAGAGGAACAGAUUUGAAACGGGGUAAGUUGCCCGAGAGGGAACUUAUUUCCAUCUAAAGGUUAGCCUAGUCACUAUUAUCUUGCAAAUUUCCUAUCGAAAGCAUGUAGUCAACUAUUUAUCUCAACCUGUAUUGCGGUCACACCCCAAGAACUUUUCCCCAUACUUGAUUUUCUUGUUAUUUUUGUUGUUUAUACUACUUGUAACAAAACCCCUUUUGAUAUUUGACACUUUCGUGUCACGCACUUGAAUUUACUUUGUUUUUAUUCGAUAAUCUCUCAAACUACAGCUAAUUAGAAAUGAAAUUCUAAUUAACUACUAUUUUCACUACCACUCCCUUGGGACACGAGCCCUACCCUUGGUUGAGUUACUAUAUUAUCGACUAUCAUAGACACUCGUACCGUAGGUUAGUGUCGUUGCUCACGAUAAGCAUCAAAAUGGCGCCGCUGCCGAGGAGUGGCGUUAGUUGAGAAUUUUUAGUUAAGUUGAAUUUUGUUCUUGUUAAUUAUAGUUGAACUUACUUAAUUUUUAGUUUUUGUUGUUGUGUUGCUGUUUUGAACAGAAAAAUUGAGCAUAUCUACUAGGAACGGUGACCCAAUAAACCACCCUCUUUUGAAAGUGAUGAUGCUAAGGGAUAACAUCCUUAGUUUCAAUAAAUUGGAGGGUGAGUCAGUUUAUGAGUUGUGGCAAAGGUUUAAGGCUUUCUUGCUGCAGUGCUCGACUCAUGGAAUUUCAUAUAAGAUGCUUCUGGAAUUUCUCUACCCAGAGCCAGAAGAGGGGUUGCCUUAUGAAAGUGAGGCAAACCCCACUAAUGGAACUUAAGUGGGGACUUACGUCGUGCCACGACGUUAGCUAAGGCGCUACUUGGGAGGCAACCCAAGACCCCUUAUCGCUUUAUUUUCGCUUUUAGAAAUAAUGGUGUGUUGUUUGUGUAGGUGAUACUUAUCGCGACCAACAACAGUAACCUACGGUACGAGUGACUACGAUCGUCAAUAAUAUAGUAACUCAACUUAAGGUUGGGGUCGUGUCCCAAGGGAGUGGUUUUGAGAUUUAAUAGAAAAAUAAAAUUUAAUUCUAACUAGUCGUAGCUAAAGACAUUAACGAGUAAAAACAUAGUAAAUUAAAGGGGGUGACACAAAAGUGUCAAAUAUCAAUUGGGGGUUUUGUCAAAAUUAGUAAAAACAACAAAUAAUAACAAGAAAAUCAAGUAUGGGGAAAAGUUCUUGGGGUGUGACCGCAAUAUAAGUUGAGAUAAAUCGUCGGGUACAUGCUUUCGAUAGGAUAUUUUCAAGAUAAUAGUGACUAGGCUAAGCUUUAAAUAGAAAUAAGUUCCCUUUCGGGAAACUUACCCCGUUUCAAAUGCGUUCCUCUCGGACACCCAUUUGCAGCUUGAGGGCCAGCCUACGCCUUACCCCACUCACUCUCUCGAGCUGAGUGUUAGGAUAUGGGACUAGGGAUCACCCUCUCAGGCUGAACCUCCUGUCGACCCCCNNNNNNNNNNNNNNNNNNNNNNNNNNNNNNNNNNNNNNNNNNNNNNNNNNNNNNNNNNNNNNNNNNNNNNNNNNNNNNNNNNNNNNNNNNNNNNNNNNNNNNNNNNNNNNNNNNNNNNNNNNNNNNNNNNNNNNNNNNNNNNNNNNNNNNNNNNNNNNNNNNNNNNNNNNNNNNNNNNNNNNNNNNNNNNNNNNNNNNNNNNNNNNNNNNNNNNNNNNNNNNNNNNNNNNNNNNNNNNNNNNNNNNNNNNNNNNNNNNNNNNNNNNNNNNAAAUGAUACUAAAAUCAAAUGGGUAUAAGAAAUUAAACCUUGAUUUAAGCAAAGGAAUAAGAAUGGAGAAGACCCACUUCCAACUUGGGGAAGAUGAAAUCUGUCUUCCUUCAAGUCUUCCAAAAACCCUCUCCAAACUUGACAUAAAAUAUCUUAAAAGUACUAUUCUUUUAUGAAAAUUAAAACAAAUGUUUGACUCUCUAAAAAUUAAUAAUAAGUUUAGUAUUUAUAGACUUCAGAAAAUAGUGCUGGCGGAUCUUUCGGCGAGGUAACCCGGAAUCGCCGAGUAACUCGACAAUUCGACAUUUGGUGUAGUGCAUCGCCGUCUUGCACUAGCCUUCAGCAUCGUCGUGCUCUGUGUCAUUGGGCGACAUAAUACUACUUUGCGGAAUUAUUCGGUGAAACGCCGACUGCUCCUUUCAUCGCCUUUUUUAUCCUGCUCCUUCAAGGUUUAGCGUCCUGGAACAAAGGACGGACUGCGUCCUUUCGGCAAAUCGCUAAGUGUGCUUGGCGAUGCUCAGGCUUUAGCUUCUUCGUUCUUUUCAGCCUUUUUUCCUUUUUGCGCCUAAGUGUCCAUGCUUCCACUAAAACUUCAAAUACGUGAAACUUAACAGUUUUCAUCAAAUAUUCAGACAAAAUAAGCAUUUGGGGACACUAUUUCUAUCAAAAUAAAGCCCUAACUGAGUCCAAUUUGUGGACUCAUCAGUAGGUCGAAGUGGGAAAAUUGUUGCAAAUUGUAGAUUGGUGAGCAAAAGGUCCAGUUGGUGCAUUGCCGAAGAUGUCGAUGACCCUAACCCAGACUGUCAACAGAAUCAAGACAAUUAUACAUAGGAGUCUAUAAAAGUCGGUGAGCCCAGGAAAUUAUUGGUGAAUCACCGACUAGGUCAAUGAUCACGAUCUAAUGUGUCGUUUGGACCCCUACAUCAACUGAGGAUCCUGUAAAACUCAGUGAGGUAAGUAACCACUUGGCGUGUUGCCGAGUGGGUCGGCGAGCAUGACUAACGUCGUCGAAACGGUGAGAACUGGAUGGUUUCUUAAAAGGCCAAAGGUUUAGACUUUCAAACUCUUCCCGCUUCCCCAGUUUCAAUCGUCACAAACUCACACCCCCACCUUAGUUUCUAUAUUUGUGCAAUUUUAAAGUAUUUUAGUCGUUGAUUUGUGUUCGGAGUGGAUUACGUUGCCGCCUAGCAUUUCAAAAGUAUUUUAAUCAGCAUCUAAGGUUGGUUUUCCGAACCCAAAUUUAUUUUUAGAAAUUUUGUACUCAUUUGCAAUGAUAUUAUCUUAGUGAUAUGUGUUGGGCCUCACUAAUCUUAAUUGUUUUUACUUAUGCCUGUGAAAAUCCUGCUCGUAGUGUUUAUAUUGUUAAAAUCCCAUAUUUUUGUGCCUUAAAAUCGGUUAAAUUUUGUGGGUUUAUGCUUGCAUGUUGUUGAGUCUAGCAGGGAGAAGUCUGAGUAUGCCGAAGAUAUGGUAAAUACCAGUAUUGUCAUGCCACCCCGGAAAAGAGCACGGGAUAGCUUUCACAUCCUUCACACAAGACGAUUCUAAAUUAUGGUGAAAUAUAACACCACCCUUGGAGGAGUCUACUUACCGAAGAUAUCAAGGUAUUAUCUAAACACCCUAUUCAUCAAAUUCAUACAUGUCGCAAGGGCAUUAGUCAAACCAAAUGACAUUACCAAAAACUCUUAAUGACCACAUCGGGUUCUAAAAGCCAUUAUCGGGAAAUCAUCAUCAUUCACCCUCAAUUGGUGGUAACCCAACCUAAGGUCAACCUUAGAAAAGUAAGUAGCUUCUUACAGUUGAUCAACACUAAAGUCUAUUUCCCUCUCCCUAACUAGGUGGUAAAGGCAACCCUUAGCCAUCUUCCUUCUAGCUUUUAUUUAAGGAACAAACUGACCUCUAGGCAUAGAAUUUCCCCCCUUCCACUCUAGGAUAAACUCAUUUGGGAAUUGAAACGUGACUACACGAGUUCUACAAUCAAUAGAAACAUAACAAGAGUGGGCUAAUCCCUACCGAGGAUAACAUCAAAGUCUAACAUAUCAAGCUCUACCAAAUCAACAUGGGUAACUCUGUGGCAUAAGGAAACAGGAAAUCCUCUAUAGACCCUCCUAGCAACAAUAGAAUCACCAACAGGGGUAGAGACAGAAAAAUAUUCUUACCAACACAUUUGCAAGUACAUCAAAUAUCAUAAAGACAUAUGGCGUCACAAAAAAAAGCAACGUAGAACCGAGAUCUAAUAAAGCAUAAACAUCAAGUUAGAAAACAUUCAACAUACCGGUAACCACAUCAGGAGAACACUCUUGCUCACCUCAAACCUAAAGAGCAUAGAACCUAUUUUGUCUUAGAGCAUUUGCACCUAAACCAAUAGGAGGAGCUUGCUUACCCUCUCUUCUAUUAGCCUUAUUCAUUGGACAAUCCCUCAUUUUGUAACCAGUUUCACCACAACUGAAGCAACCCUCUGUGCCGGCUAAACACCUACCCUUAUGCAAUAGGGAUCCACUACUAAUUCCUUGCGAUUUAGGGUUAGACUCUUUAUCUUCGUUAUACCUAUGAGCAUUGGAGGAACCUUGCCCGGAAAACCUUUGUCGAUACCUAGGACGACCAUGUCCAUCGGACCUUGCGUGAGAGAAAUUACCAUCAUCAAUCUAGAUCUCUUUUUCUCCCUAGAUCUCCCUUUAAGUUUCUCCUCUUCAAUCUAUUGGGCAUGAACCAUAAGAUGAGAAAUGUCCAUGUCAUGGACAAGCAUAGUCGUUUAACAUUCUUUCACCACUAAAUCAGACUCUCCGGAAAUGAACUUACUCAUUCUCGACCUAGGGUCGGCCACUAUAGAUGGAGCAUAUUUUGACAAUUGAGUGAACCUCAAAGCAUAUUCCUUAACACUCAUAUUACCUUGCCGAAGGUUAAUAAACUCAAGUACCAUAGCCUCUCUUAUCUCAAGAGGGAAGACCCUAUCAACAAAAUUAGCUUUAAACAGUUCCCACUCUAUGGAUGCUUCUAUCGGUCUUGCUUCUUUCCAUUGGUUGAACCAAAUCUGAGCAACCCCUUUAAGUUGAUAAGUGGCUAAUUUCGGCUUCUCUACCACAGUUACUCCCAUAAUGUCCAACACCUUAUAGACCUCAUCUAUGAACUUUUGAGGAUCUUACUCAACCUUUGACCCCUAGGAUUCAUUCUUGUGAAGUCCCUCACUCUAGAAGCCGUUGUACCUACAUUUGGGUUCACGGGGACUACAACCUCCCUAUUGUCUUGGGCCAUCACGGCUUGAGUAAACACUUGAAAAGCCGACCUAAACUCUACAUUUGUCACAUUCUCAGCCAUGGGGUCGAUCGGAGCUUAAGGAGGUAGGUUCUUGAUCUACAUUGUCUUCUUCAAUCCUUCUAGAAUGAGCCCUUGUAGUAGUAAUGUCCUGAAGACCAUUGGGUAAUGGUAAGGAUAAAGACCUUAUAGAGUUACACUCUAUCGCAUGACUUAGAGUAAAGAAAGAAGUGAAGUUUCCUAAGCAUCUAGUAACCUCUCAUUCAUAAAUGUGACGCGCUUCACACUUGAACAAGACUCUACUUGACAUGGUUUUGAGACAUCCUAGAACCAUUCUAAACAUUGUGCUCCGAUUACCAAGUUUUUCACCACCCAGAGGCACCCCUUAAAUGUAACAAGGUGUACAAGACCAUAAGAGGCCUCAUACAAACCACAUUGCUUUCAUAACAUAAGAUAAUAAAAAAUUAGUGAAAAUAUAAAACAUUUUAAACAUAAUCAAACUCUUUAUAAAACGAAGCGAAAUUAUAAUACACUUUGUCUCAAACUAUCUAAAACAUGAAUAUCUUUAGGACACAACACAUACAAUAGUUCAAAACAUAAAAUGAAAGAACAUAAGAAAAUGGUGGUCAAAUCCUCAAAUGCUAUGAGGACUGACCAAUCUUCAAAUAUUGCUCUACUAUGAUCCUAGCCAAGGAGAUGAGAGUCGAUAUCGCUGGACUCGACAUUUGGAUAAGAAAUGUAGGCAAGAGUAUGUGUUAGUACAAACAUGUACUAAAUAUGAUAGCUUGCAUAAAUAUAAACAUAAGCAUAAGAGUUAACAACAUAAGUCAUAAGCAUAAUCAAUGCACAUAAAUCAUCAUAAUAUAAGAGGAACACUUCUUGAACUAACCUCACUUAUCCUUAAUCAAGACUUGGGUCAUCCACCUCUAGUCAUUCAUAUCAUGAAAGGAACCUCAAACAACAAUCCAAGCUAAUCAUUCAUCAUAACAAGUAAAUCUCAUCUUUAAACAUACUUACCAUACUUCCUUGAAGUAACCUUGCUUCAUCAUAACUAUGCUAGUUUGAUUGAGGAGUAGUCAAUCCUUAGUUAUUUCUACUAUCCAUGGAAGUCAUGUCAUCUUACCGAUCCAAGCUAAGUCAUUAUCCGUGGAGGAGCACUAAUUUACUAAUCCAAGUUAUCCAUGAGGAAGUCUCAUAUUACCAACUCAAGCUACCAUGAAGAAGCACCUCAUCAUGCCAAUCCAAGUUACCAUAGAAAGUACCUUAUCAUUCUAUUCAAAACUACCCAUGGAAUGGUACUAUUUAUCAAUCCAAGCUACCAUGAAAUGGUAAGGCCUUACCAAUUCAAGAUACCAUAAAUGGUCUUAUCUUACCAAGUCAAGCGACCCAUGAAAGGAUACUAUUUCUCAAUCCAAGCUAUCCAUGAGUUCUACUAACCCAAGCUACAAUGAGUUCUACUAACCAAAGCUACCAUGAGUUCUACUAACCCAAGCUACCAUGAAGGGAUCUCAUAUUACCACUUGAAGAUACCAUGGAAAAGCAUCUCAUUAUGCUAACCCAAGAUAUGUCUUACUAUCAUAGUUCAUGAAUUCAUUGAUUAAUUUUAGGUGAGCAAGCCUUUCAACCUAGAAUCAUUUAUGUGAGGAAACCUUUCACAUUCAUGCAUUCAUACACUCAUAAGGUAAAUCAUGUGGGUAAAUCCUUCCACAAAAAUUCGAUUAAAAUAAUCAACAUUCAUCAUAUAAGCUUUACUCUCAAAGCCCUACUAAUUAUAAUUCAUCAUAUAAGCUUUAAUCUCAAAGCCCUAAUAAUCGUAAUUCAUCAUAUAAUAUUUACUCUCAAAGCCAUUAUAAUCAUAAGUCAUCAUGUAUUCUUCAAUCUUAAGCAAUAUAUAAUGUACCAUAUCAGUCUUAUAUGAAUACAGAUAAAUCCUCAAUUUCCCCUUUCAUGGAGUAAAACCCACAUACAUCAAUUUCAUCUUAGAAUCAUGGCUAGGCAUGGGUAUAUGUAAAUUCAUUCUAAAAUCAUUGAAUCUACUCAAUUCAAGCAUAAACAAUCAUAAUUUACCCAUUUGGAUCAACAUUCAUCAAUACCCACAACAUUAGAGAAAACCCUAACUCAAUUUAGGAAUCUCUACUUCUCAAUUGGGGAAAUCUUAGGGGCUCCAUGGAUGAAAGGAUUUCAUGAUUGAAAAUCCAUAGUACCUUGUUAACAAAGCCCACAAAUUCUUGAGGAUUGAAGGCUUGACCUUCAUCCUAGCUCCAAUUCUUUCUUCUUCUUAAAGUUCUAUAUAGAGAAAUAUUUUAGAGAAGAACUCGGGAUUUCUUUUGGGUUUUUGGAAAUAAUGACUUGAAUGGGUGAGUUUAAGGGUUAAAAUCACUUAUAUAAGAGUCCUAGGCUUGGGUAAAACGACAUAGCAUUAAUCUAAUUAAAACUGGAAAUACUCAUUUACCCCUCAACUUAACAGUGGACUUCCCCAUACCACGUGAGGCUCCACGAGCUGUGGUCCCUACCACGAGUUGUGGUCCCCAUCGUGAUCUUGGACCAGUGGCUUGGAAACCAACCCUUGACCCCUAAAAAUCUAUUUCAUGUUCAUGACCACUCCCACGGCCCAUCAAGGUCUUCGCGAGCCGUUUACUUGGCCACGGCCCGUCAAANNNNNNNNNNNNNNNNNNNNNNNNNNNNNNNNNNNNCGUGGGGGGCCCCGGGAGCCGUUAAGGCUUCCACGAGUUAUGGUGGCAGCCGUGGUCCUUGACCAAUGGCUUGGAUUGCCACCACUUAACCUCUUUAAGACAAACUCUAGACCACGACCACUCCCACGACUUGUAGUGGCCUUCACGAGCCGUUUAGUGGCUCGUGGGAAGGCCUUCAUUUUAGACAGCUUAAGAGUCUUACUACCUCACCUCCAUGAGUGUCACCACGACCCGUGGUCUCCACCACGAGGCGUCAUGGUGCUUGUGGGAGGUGAACCUCCCUCGGUCACUCACUUCCUGGGUCCAUGGGCACCACCACUAGCCGUGGUGCCGUUCACGAGCCGUGUGGACCUUCAUGGAGAGUACCAAGGCUAUUUUCUAUAGUUCUUGACUUCUCACUUAGCCCUGGCUUAGCCUACUAGAUUCUGAGGUGUUAUAAUGUGUAUGAGAGGGCCAAAUGUUUUCUUGUUUCAUCCAAAAAGCGUCGGCUCAAAUGGUGUCAAUCUAGGUUCACACUAUCACAAGGUAGUCACAAAGAGGUAUAGUAGCAAUUUUGAGCACUCUCAAAAAAUUUGUGCCUAAGAUCAUCUCUUUCAUUAACCAAUGCUAGUCAACUGGACCAACGGGGUAAGUUUUAGUCAUCAUCAAGCACAUAUUUCAAGAAAAUCUCACCAUUCAAGGCAUUAAACACAAUCGUUGAUCAUGACUCUACAAGUUCAGCUUGCCUGUAACGAUCAUUAAUAAACUCACUUCGACAAUCGACAAGUCAAAAUUAGAUCCUAAGAGUUCAUACAUUUCUUAUGCAACUCAAAUUGCCCUCUUUGGACUUGUACAAACAUAUUGUUCGAUCAAGAGCACUAUCCAAGUCAUCGGUAUUGAUCAAAAUCGACACUUAAAUGUACAACAAAACAUCGACAAUAUUCAACAAUCAGAAUCAGGAGAUGGAUCACUAAGAGAAAAACAAACCAACAAUGGUAAGACCUUCACCGCACCGAGAAAAACUAUGCAAUGUCCUUUAUGCAUAUACAAACUAAUUUAAAUAAUAAAAAGGAAAAGUAAGGAUCACAUAAUGAAAGGAUUAGAGAAGGAGAGACUUUUCACUUCACGCCCAAUUGGCAAGCAGUACUAGUGAUGCCGAACCAUUCGGUGGACCGCUGACUAGAAUUUGGUUUGCCAAAAUUUACAAAAAGUUGACCUUACAAUUGAAACAAAAAGGUGAUGUUAAUCGACCUCACUGAUUCAGCCCAGCGGAACGCCGAAGUUACUGCAGCCUCGCCAAAUUUUCCCGAAUGAAUAUGUAUGUUGACCCUAGGAAGGGAGAUGCACUUGGGUGAUUUAGGGAGCCAGUUAGCAAUUCGCCAAAUGGGUCCAACCUACACAUUCAGCAAACGUUAUUAAUAAAAUGACGAAAACUUGGGUUGCCUCCCAAAAAGCACCUUAGUUAACGCCGUGGCACAACGUGGAAAUGCAUUUAAGCGUCUUCCAAAUACACUACUUCAAUUACUAACAAAUCUAGGUAUUCUCUGAAGUAGAGCUUCAAUUGUUGCCCAUUUACCUUGAAUACCGAUCCUUAUUUUCAUUCAACUUCAAUUGCCCAUUCGUUAACACACGAGUCACUUUGAAUGGGCCUGACCAUUUCGACUUGAGUUUAUGCGGACAAAGUCUCAAAUGAGAGUUAUAAAGUAAAACAAGAUCGCCAGCUUUAAACUCUCACUGAAGGAUUUUGACAUCACGCUACUUCUUCAUUUUCUCCUUGUAAAGGGUUGAAAUCUUGUAGGCCAGCAGCCGAAACUCUUCCAAUGCAUGGAGUUGGUUUACACUAUCCUUUGAAGCAUCCCCCCCCCCCAUUCAAGUUCAAUGAUUUCAAUGCCCAUAAUGCCUUAUGUUCAAGCUUAAUUGGUAGGUGACAAAACUUUCCAAACACAAAUUGGUAUAGUGACAUGGAAAUCGGGGUCUUGAAUGUGGUGCAGUAUUCCCAAAGAACAUCAUCUAACUUCCGAGACCAGUCUGUCCAAUUUGCAUUGACUAUUUUUGCCAAAUCCCCUUAAUUUCUCUAUUCGACACUUCAACCUGCCCACUUGUCUCUGGAUGAUAAGGGGUUGCAACUUUAUGCUUAAAUCCAUAUUUGCUCAACAAAGAUUCAAACAAAUUAUUACAAAAAUGAGAUGCCCCCCCCCAUAGCUAAUAAUCGCACAUGGAGUGUUGAAUCGUGUGAAAAUGUAUCGCUUCAAGAAUUGCACACCACUUCUCCCUUCAUUGUUGGGUAAAGGUAAAGCCUCUACCCAUUUAGAAACAUAGUCAAUCGCUACUAAGAUAAACUUAUUAACAUAUGAACUCACAAAGGGUCCCAUGAAGUCGAUUCUCUAGGACAUCAAACAAUUCUACCUCUAGAUUUAGACGGAGAUGUAAUUCAUGCUUUCUCGACAUUCCACCUUGCUUUUGGAAUUGAAUGCAUUGUUUAACAAGAAGGUGUGAAUCAUGGUAUAACUUCGGCCAAUAAUAACCACUUUGAAGUACUUUGGCAGCCGUGUGCACCCCGCUAUGAUGCCACCAACUGGCGACGCGUGGCAAGCAUCGAGAAUUGCAUUUACCUCCACUUCUGGUAUACACCUUCUAAUUAUGUGAUCUGCACAUUCCCAAAAUUGGUACAGUACAUCCCAAAAAUACUUCUUCACACCGAACAAAAACCUCUUCCAUUGGUAGAAAUUCAAUCCAUGGGGAACAAUCUCACACACAACAUAAUUUGCGAAAUCAGCAUACCAAGUUGGAUUUCAAUGAGAUAGAAUCAUUACUGACUCAUCGGGGAAACUCUUCCUCAAUAUCCCUCUUAUCGGAAACAACAUUGGUUUUUAGCAUUGACAAGUAAUCCCCCACUUCAUUCUCACACCCUUUUCGAUCCUUGACCUCGAAAUCAAACUCUUGUAACAACAGCACCCAUCGAAUCAACCUUGUCUUUGCAACUUUCUUAAACAUCAAAUAUCGGAUUGCAGCAUGAUCCGUGUGUACCACCACUUUAGUGCCCAACUAAUAUGCUCUAAACUUUUCAAAAAUAUACACUAUAACUAGAAAUUCUUGUUCGGUGACAGCGUAAUUCUUUGAGCUACAUUCAAAGUCUUACUUGCAUAAUAAACCAGGUGAAACGGCUUACCCUUUCAUUUGACAAAAACAGCUCGCAAAGCCACACCACUUGCAUCACACAUUAGUUCAAAUGGAAUGCUUCAAUCAGGGUAAACAAUGAUCAGAGCUGACACAAACUUUUGUUUUAAGCACAAGAAUGCUUUGAGGCAAGCUUCAUCAAAGUUGAAAGUAGAUUCAUUUUCAAGUAGCUUAAUAAGGGGAUAAGCUACCUCAUAGAAAUCCUUUUUAAACCGUUGGUAGAAGCCUCUGUGUCCUACAAAGCUUUGGACUCCUUCCACCAAAAUGGGAGGAGGUAGUUUAGCAAUAACUUCGACUUUGUCUUGAUCCCCUUCUAUUCCUUCUCCUAAAAUUUUAUGCCCCAAAACAAUACCUUUUUUGACCAUGAAAUGACAUUUCUCCCAAUUAAGAACAAGAUUUGUUUCGGUGCAUCUUUGUAAUACUAUCCCAAGGUGUUAAAGAUACGCUUCAAAUGUGUCACCCACAACCGAAAAAUCAUCUAUAAAGACCUCCAUCGAGUCUUCAACCAUAUCAACAAAAAUAGAGAGCAUGCAUCGUUGGAACAUUGUCAGAGCAUUACACAACCCAAAUGUCAUUCUUUUGAAAGCAAAUGUUCCAUAGGGACAUGUGCAAGUUGUUUUUUCUUUGUCUUCAGAUGAAAUGAAAAUUUGAUUAUAACUGGAAUAACAACCUAAGAAACAAAACCAUCAAUGCCCCGCAAGCCUAUCAAGCAUUUGAUCCAUAAAAGGGAUUAGGAAAUGUUCUUUCUUGGUCCAUGCAUUCAAUUUUGGUAGUCCAUGCAUACACACCAAUCGGUAACCAGUCUCAUUAGUACAAGUUCCCCUUUUUCCAUCUUGGACCACGGUGAUACCUCUUUUCUUUGGUACACAUUGCACGGGACUCACCCACUUGCUAUCUGCAAUAGGGUAGACCACGCCUGCAUCGAGCCACUUGAUGAUUUUCUUCUUCACCACUUCUUGCAUUGGAGGGUUUAACCUCCUUUAGUGCUCAACACUUGGUUUGCACUCACUAUUCAAUUCGAUUUUAUGAGUACAAAUCCCGAGGGGAAUUCCCACAAUAUCAGCAAUUGACCAUCUGAUGGCUUUAAUGUAUCAUUUCAACACAGUUACAAGUAAUUACACUUUCUAUUAAAGUAGACCUGGGGCGAUAAUUAUGGGAAAGCUAUUGUUUGCUCCAAAAAAUACAUACUGAAGGUGAGGUGGGAGAACAUUCAACUCAAGCUUUGAUGGUUUUUCAGAGGAUGGUUUAGCGGGAGGACUUUCUCAAUUUUUUAUAUCAAUAUCGAGCUUCAAUGGAAUAUUAGAGUGAGAACCCAAACCCGAUAGAGCAACCACGACCACCAUCAUAGUUCAAAAGAACGGGAGCUAGGGAUUCAUCUACACAAGACACUUCACUCACACUAGCUAGCCACUGCUUCUUCAAUCACACCAAUGAAUGAUACCACAGGUAUGUCGCUAGGUUGCUUGAUUGAUUUGCACACAUUGAAAGUAACUUCCUCAUCAUUUACUAGAAACUUUAGCUCACCACUUUCAACAUCCACAAGGGCUCUUUCGUUAGCUAAGAACGGCCUACCUAGUAGAAUAGGUAUUUCGGUGUCGAUCUCGCAACCAAGAAUAACAAAGUCGGUCAAAAAUAUGAACCCAUCCACUUUCACCAAAAUAUCAUAAAGUAUGCUAAUAGGAUGCUUGAUAAAUCGAUUGGCCAUGAGAAAAUGCAUCGUUGUUGGCUUAGGCUCACCUAACCCAAGCUUUUUUGAAAAUGGCAUAUGGCCUCAAGUUAAUACUUGCCCAAAUUCACACAAUGCCUUGGAAAAUUGAAACAUCCCAAUAGUACAUGGAAUAAUGAAUGCCCCCGAAUCAUUUUUCUUGACAACCACAUUGCUAGUCAUAAUGGCACUACAACUAUGAGACACCUCAAUUGUUUUGAAAUCCAUACUCCCCUACUUGGUAAUCAAUUCUUUCAUGAACUUUGCAUAACCAGGCAUUUCCAAAAUCGGAAAUGGUGCAAGGAGGAAGAUACGACUCCCUCAUCGUCCCUAUGAUUUAAAAGAAGGAAAACUAGUAGUUUCCUUCUCUAAAGAGGAAAAUGAUAUGUUGGCUGAAACCUGCAAGCUCACACUCAUAGGUAAGUUUACAAAAAUCCUCCCCUCGAUUGAGAAAAUUAGGGACGAUUUUAAAACAGAUAUUCUUCUAAAAGGGUCUAUUAAGAUAGGAGCCUACAAUAUGCACCAUAUCUUUCUAGAUUUCGAUUUAGAGGAAUAUCAUAGAAAUGUCUAUGGAAGGAACUUUCUUACCCUCUGUAAUAUGCAGAUUAAACUCCUAAAAUGGAAGCCCGACUUUAGACAUGAGGCUGAGACCACCUUAGCUCCAGUCUAGAUUAACCUCUCAGAUCUAAGAUGGCAUUUUUUUGAAUGGGAUGCACUCUGCAAAUUUUUGGCUCCUAUUGGAGUUCCAAUCAUCUCGGACAUAGCUACCCUCUCAAAAACUAGACCAAUGAUGGCAAAGAUUAAGGUGGAGAUAUACAUCACUAAGCUUCAGAUCUCGAAAAUCCAAAUUGUUAUCAAGAAUGAAGAUGGAGAGCUAGAAUCUAUUUCCCAAAGAGUGGAAUAUGAAAAUGUGCCGCAUUACUGCUUUAACUGUAGAGCGCAGGGCCAUAGUGACGACAACUGCAGGAUCCUUCAUCCUGAACUCAAAGGAAGUGGUAACAAAAACAAUACAGAUGAAAUGCAAAGGUCACAACAAAAUAACAUAGAAGAUUCGGAAGGGUGUCAAUGAUUCCUAAUGGAAUGCUAAAUGGAAGGAAUGGAAGCUCACCAACCAAAAGGACAAAAUGUGUGAAAGUGAAGGUAAAAACAAAUUAUCAUAAGAUGGCGAAGGUUGCACGAUAGUGUCUAAAGGGAAAAGAAAAAACAAAAAUUAGGGGAACAAUGACCAGGGCAACCAGAAGAACAUAGCAACUGAAAAUCAGAGGAAAAAUGACUAGGGAAACCAGAAGAACAUAGCAACUGAAAAUCAAUUUGCCUUCCCACCAAAUGAAGUGGCAAACAUGACUAAUGACAGACAAGGCGAAACUUCCAAUACCUAUGGCAUCACAUUCACAGCUCUGGAAAAACCACAUCUUGAGAGCAUAUCCUCAAAAAGACGCAAGAGGAAAGUCACUGCCACACGCUACAGGAGAAUGCAAAUCAGGCUGCAGUUAGGAAAGCGAGAAUGCAAAAGAAGGUGGUGGAGACUUUUAACCCCCCAUAUGAAAGAAGAACAAGAAGCAAGAAAGGGAAUAAGGAAUAAGGGGACAAAAAAAUGCACAACAAAUGGACAACAACACAGACCGCCCAGCUCACAACAACAAGGAGGAAAAGAAUAACAACAUACUUGAAGAGACACAUCACAAUAACAAAUUGGUUAAUAUGGAAACUGAAGAAAACUUGGCUCCGGUGGAUGGGGAAAAAAGAAGGCCCAAUACCUAAAAAAGAACAACAAUGCAGGCACAAACGCCAAGAUGGAAGACGAAUACAACCAUUAUGAAUCAGCCUCGGAGGAGGAGAUGGAGGAAGACCAUUUCCAUGACAUUCCAGAUCAAUUACUUGAGGGUGAUAUUAACAAAUCAAAUGGAGAAAACCAGGGAGUUAUUUCUAACCCUAAGGAAAUCAUUACAAAUGAGCAGAAUCUUUAUUCGGUUCCAAUCAAACUAGCUACUGAAGGAACAUCCUUAACUGAUAAGGAUUGCUCCAUGGUGGAUAGUAAUGGUUCGUCUCAAAAUAAUAUGCUUAGCUCUAGCCCUAAUAGUUCUUAAUAAUUAAUAUCAUUUCAUGGAAUAUUAGGAGUGCAAGGACCCUAAGUGCUUUUCAAAAGACUCAAAAAUAUGAAAAACCAGUUUAACACUUCCUUUAUUAGCCUUCAAGAACCUUUCGUUAAAGAUGAUCAGAUAGAUUACUAUAUGAGGAUGCUUGAUAUGCAGGGAUCCUAUGCUAAUGUUAAUAACAAAAUAUGGCAUUUUGGACAAAUGAUCUCAAUUUUACAAUCCUUCAUGAUACUGAACAACAUGUUACCUACUAUGUUAAUCAUACAACCUCAGGGUCUAACUUUCACAUAUCUUUGGUGUAUGCUAAAUGCAGGACUAUCCUGAGAAGAGACUUAUGGGAGGACUUAGUUUCCAUCUCAAACAAUAUUCAAGGCCCUUGGAGCAUUGUGGGGGAUUUCAAUGUCAUUGCUGAGGUCGAGGAAAAGCUAGGAGGAACACCAUAUCGAUUGGAGAAGAGUUUUGAAUUCUUAAACUUUAUGGAAGACUCUAGUGUCCAAGAUGCAGGCUUUUUUGGGAACAUAUUCCCAUGGUGCAAUAAUAGGGAUGCCCCUAACACAAUUUGGAAAAGGCUAGACAGGAUGUUGUAUAAUUCAAAAUGGUUUGAUUAGUUCACCAAAUCAAAAGUGACUCACCUGGCUAGAACCUGCUCUGACCAUGCUCCAUUGCUAAUUUAGCUCUAUGGUGAAGUAGAGGAGUUCAAGAGAUAUUUUAAAUUCCUUAAUACCUAGACAGAACACCCUCAGUUCUUGGAUACAGUUUGAGAAAUAUGGAACAUUGAAUGUCAAGGAAACCCAAUGUGGGUGCUUCAUCAAAAACUCAAAAAAAUUGCUAGUCACCUCAGCACUUGGUCCAAGACUACAUAUUGAGAUAUCUAUGCAGUUCCUAAGAGAUUGGAAAAAAAGAUUGUGAAGCUAGAGCAGAUUAUGCAGAGUGACAAAUCUCCAACUACAAGAGCUACCCUCAACAACACAAAAGCUGAGUAUGUGUCAUACUUAAAAAUCCAAGAGAAAAUACUGAGACAAAAAGCCAAGGUGAGAUGGCUAGUAGAUGUGGAUACCAACACAGCAUACUUUCACAAGGUUAUCAAGGAUAGGCGUAGGAGGAUUGGGAUCAACAAGAUCAUGGAUGAGGAUCAAAAAUGGGUGGAAGUCAAUGCUAAAGUGGCAGAGGCAGGAGUUAAGUACUUUAAAGGAAUUUUUAGUUAGGUCCCUGACUAUAAUGACUUUCAAGGAUUGGAGGGGAUCAAUAUCACUAUCACAGAGGAUAUCAAUCAUGACUUAACAAAACUUCCAACAGAAAAAGAGAUCAGAAGUAAUUUGAUGUCCAUGGAUCCAGACAGUGCCUCGGGGCCUGAUGGAUUCAUAGCUAAGUUCUUUCAGACUUGUUGGGGAGUGGUAGCCCCUGAUGUUACUAAAGCUUUGCAUUCCUUCUUUUGUGGUCCUAGUCUCCCCAAGUUGCUUACUCAUACUAACAUAGCCAUGAUUCCUAAAAUUAACCAUCCUCAACUCUUUUCUGACAUGAGACCUAUAAGCCUGUGUAAUGUCAUCAGUAAAAAAAAAUCCAAAGUGUUAAAUUCCAGACUUAGUAAGGUGCUUCCUCUUUUAAUUAGUAAUAACCAAAGUGUUUUUAGUAAAGGAAGAUCUAUUACUAAUAAAAAUUUUCUUGCUCAAGAAAUUACUCAGGACAUAGGGUCUCUUAACGUGGAAAGAAAUGUUGUUCUUAAAUUAGAUAUGGCUAAAGCUUAUGAUAGAGUUUCUUGGCCUUAUCUAUGCAUUCUCAUGAAAAUGAUGGGUUUCUGUGAAUUAUGGAUUGACUUGAUUUUUAGACACAUCUCCAGUAACUGGUAUUCCCUGCUAGUUAAUGGGUGUAGGUAUGAUUUCUUUCAAUCCAAGAGGGGUCUAAGACAAGGAGACCCUAUCUCGCCUUCCCUGUUUUUUAUUAGUGCUGAAUUUCUCUCAUUUAAGCUUAAUAAUCUCAAUCAUAACCCUGAAUUCAUUGGCUUUAGCAUGAAUAAAAGGGGCCCAACUAUCAAUCAUUUAGCAUCUGUUGAUGACAUCAUUUUAUUUUGUAGUGGAUGCAGGAGAUCUCUUGAGCUAUUGAUGGAAGUUCUGGGAAACUAUGAAAAAGUUUCAGGACAGGAGGUUAACAAGAUGAAAUCUAGUGUGUCACUAUCCAGCAAAGAGCACCCUCAAGCUAUCCAAAGAGUGGAAGAGAUCAUUGGCAUGACUUACAAGAGUCUACCAAUCAAGUACUUGGGGUGCACAUUGUAUGAAGGAAGGAAGAAUAGUGCUCUUUUCUCUGGAAUGAUGAGCAAAAUUCUACACAGGAUUGGAGGAUGAUCGCAAACAAAAUUUCUAACAAUAGGAGGAAGAAGUGUGUUGAUUAAGCAUGUAUUGCUCUCACUCCCAGUGUACACUCUAGCAGCAGUUCAGCCUCCUACUGGUGUUCUAAACCAAAUGGAAAAGAUGUUUCAUAAAUUUAUUUGGAGUGGUACUGAUGAAAACAAGAAAAUGCAUUGGGCUUCCUGGGACUCCAUGUGCUACCCAUAUGAUGAAGGUGGUGCCUCCUUUAGAAGGCUUAAAGAUAUUUGUAAAGCAUUUACUACCAAACAAUGGUAGACAUUAAGGAUCACAAACUCUCUAUGGAAAGAGUUUCUAAUGGCUAAGUACUACCAAAGGAUUCAUCCUGUAAAUAAGAGAUGAUACUCCGGAAACUCUCAUUCUUGGAAUGCUAUGUGCAAAAUCAAAAGUACUAUGGAUUAGUAUAUACUAUGGAAAAUAGGCAGAUGAGAUGUCUCAAUGUGGCAAGAUAAUUGGACAGGUUUUGGUUCCCUUUGGCAACUAUUCCCAGAUGAUACAAAACCAAGGGAGCAAAAACUCUCAGACAUCUACAUCAAUGGUCAAUGGCACUGGAGAGGUUGGGACAUUUUCAUUCCCAAUCAUGUGAUGGAACAUAUUUAGAGUAUGAAUAUACAAUUGAACUUGAAUAUCGAUAACAAGCCUGUUUGGACUCCAAAUCAAAGUGGCAUGUUCACAGUGGAUUCGGCUUGGGAUAUUCAGAGACAAAAGCUAAGAACUGGUUUGAUGCCAAUACAUGGCAUAAGAAAGUUCCUCUUAAAAUGAGUUUCAUUCUGUGGAGAGCAGUGAGAGACAAAAUCCCUACAGACUCAAGACUCGCAAAGAUGGGAAUUGCCAUGCCGUCAAGAUGCACUUGUUGUAAAUCACCUCAGGAGGAAGAUAUUGAUCACUUCAGUUCCUCGAGGCAAUUUGCAAAAAUGAUCUGGGCGACUCUCUGUGGUCCUAUGGGGAUACCAUUCGAUAAUAUCCCUAUCAGAAUGUUAAUCAAAUUCUAGUGGACCUGGAAAACUAAGAACCAGUACUGGAUGCGCUGCUGAAGUGUCUUCCUGCUAUUACCAUGUGGGAAUUUGGAAAGUAAGACAUGGAGCUAAAUACGGCAAGGAUAUCUACAACACAAGGAAUACUAUUAACAACAUCUCUGCCAACCUAGUCUUGAUUCUCAAAGAACAAUUUGAGAAGGUUAAAAUAGACCCUACUUGGGAGUCAAUCUGCUAUCUGCUAAUAAGCAACAGUUACACCAACAAACAAUGUCAGGUCAAGUGGACGAAGCUCUCUACCAGCUUUGUGUAGAUUAAUCCUGAUGGAAGUUGUAAGGAUGGCUAUUGUGGAGGAAAAGGGGUGAUCAGAGAUCAUGGUGGGCACCUCAUUUUUUCUUACUCGCUGAACCUUGGACAGGGUACCAACAAUUGAGCCGAGGCUAAAGCUCUGUUGUAAGGAGUUGAAUGGUGCGUGAGGAAUGAAUAUGAUUAUAUAUUGGCAGAGAGUGAUUCUAAGCUAUUGUUGGAUUGUGUGAAUGACAUCAACUUCACACCAUGGAGAAUUCAUGAUGAAGUGAAUGAACUGAAAGGCCAUAUGGAGACUAUUGGCUUCAUCUUAAGCCACUGCUACAGAGAGGCAAACAAAGUUGUGGACCUACUGGCGUCUCUUGGUUAUGACAGCACAAACAACGUGGCCUAUGAAACCUUUGCAGAUUUGCCAAUACGAGUGAAAGGUCUUAUGAACAUGGAUAGGUGGGAAAUGACCAACUUUAGAACCAUGAAGAAGAAGAGGAAUGAACUGAUUUGGGAACCUCUUUGAGGGUGUUGUGUGUGUUGGGUUUUCAAGGUGUGAACAGGAAAUGAAGGGUUGUGACUCUCCUGAAGAGUUGUGACUAUGUCGAAAGGUUGUGACCUUUAUGAAAGGUUGUGUCCUUUCUAAAGGGAUGUGACUGUUUGAAAGGUUAUGCCUUUUCCAAAGUGUUGUGACCUUUCUGAAAGAUUGUCUUCUUUCUAAAAGGUUGUCUUCUUUCCAAAGAGUUUGUGACCUUUACCCUUUGUUGGCUAUAAAUAGAGAGGUUUUCUCUCAUUUUUCUGCAUCGAAUUAUUUCCUUCUUUUGCAUACAUUUCUUACAAAACAAAAUCGAUCGAUCGUGUAUGUGUGUGUGAUUCGUUGCUGUCAUUUUGAGUUCGUUGAAAUUAUCGAAGUUUGAGGUACCACUACCUCUUUAAUGGUUAAUCCAUUUUAUCUUGGGAGGAAUUAAUCUACAACCUCGGGUACUUGAGGGGAUUAAAUUUCUUAAGGACACAUAAUGGGUUCUAUGGACUCGGAUAGUUCUUUGUGUUUUUCUUUUCAUCUUUUAUUAUUUCUGGUUUACUAAUCUGAAUGCAGGAGUUAACAAGCUUAAGAAAUUUAAUGUUGGUAUUUUCUAUGGUAAGGAAAUUACUUCUAUUUUCUGUGUUCUUUUUAUUGGGGAAAGAAAAAGAAGAAAAAGAGAAUUAUUUUAUCAUAUGAUAAAGAGAUUCGGGAUGAAUUAGUACUACUUUAAUAUGUUCGAAUAUAUUUUUUGUAGUAAGUUUUCCUUGGAUGGGUAAGAUUAUUUUUAUUUUCUUCCCAAGUGCAUUCAAGCAUCGCACCCCUUCAGUUUUCUUUUCAAUGAGAAAAGUUAUUUUGUGCAUAAAGGCUAAGAUGAACACUUGAAGUAAAUGAAUAAAUGUUGUCUCCUAACAAUAUUUGAACAUGAGUUUAGUUUCUUGUUGGAAUUAAAUGUCUUCUUGAGGAAAAUAGGAAUAUGAUGGAAACUGAGAAAAGGAAAAAAAAAUUAGCAAGAAAAGUGACUUGCAUGGAAUUAUUGCUGACAGAUAGAAUAUGAUUCAAUGAAAUAUGUCUUUAUUAUUAUUAAUAUGUAUUUUGUUUAGAGGAGGAAAAAAAAACUUUUGUAGUUUUCUACUCCAUGUGAAAUUUGAUUGUGUUUGACUUUUGGAGACUAAAAUCUUCUGGAUUUUUUUUUAGUCCUUUGGUUUGAAGAAUAUAAGAACUUCACGAACAAAUCAGAUUGUGCAUUGGUUUGAAGAAUAUAGAAACUUCACCAAUUUGUUAAAUACUCUGUUUGAAUGAAUAUUCUGACUUGAAGAGUACAAAAUCUUCGUCAGGAUUAUCAAGGCUAAAUGAUUUGAAAAAGAUAAAAUCUUCAUCGUUAGCUAGAAACAUUGUUGUAUUUGAGGUUUCUGGAGAUUAAAACCUUUUUGGUUUACUACUCUGUCUGAAUGUGAAACUGAUGCGAAGAAUAUAAAAACUUCAUCAGAAUUCAAG
rnacentral:lncRNA from 1 species